rnacentral:lncRNA from 1 species
AGGGCCGCCUCAACCGCCUCCCGUCCGCCUGCGUCGGCGACAUGGUCAUGGCCACCGUCAAGAAGGGCAAGCCCGACCUCCGGAAGAAGGUCAUGCCCGCCGUCAUCAUCCGCCAACGCAAGCCCUGGCGCCGCAAGGACGGCGUCUUCAUGUACUUCGAAGGUACUGUCACAUCUCCCUACUCGUACGACCCCUCGGGCGAUCACUGUGAUGGCAAUCUACGAUGAAUCUUGAUUAUGAAUAGUACUUACAGUAGUUCAUUGCCUAGAUAAUCUGAUUUACAAUAGUACUUACAGUACCAUCUUGUCUGAAAUUUUACAUUGAUGCCUGCUGUGCCACGCCCAGUGUAGAAUUUUGAUUUGUGUGUCCCCCUCGGUUUGUAGUUUUGAACGCUGCUGUAGUUGUGCAUUUUAUUCUGGUAGAUUAUUUGCCUGGCGUCAGACAUUGGGUUUUUCAUCUUAUGGUGUGACGGGGGGACAUCCGAGUCCUUCUGCCUGAUAAGGAGCAAACUCUUUGUGUUUGUAUAUUCCUUGGUGAACGUCACAAAUCAAGCCUCUGUAUGUUGAGAUUCCCCUGGAAUUGCUCCAUGCAGAGGCGGUCUCAUAUUCCAUUGCCCUUGAUAGCGGCGUUGCUGCAGUUAAACUUUGGGACUUGCCAUGAUACAAUCAGUAACCUCUAUUCAUUAAAUUUAAUUUGUCUCGUUUCUUUAAGCACAUGUUGUACAUUUCAGUAUCUAUGUUUUUGUUUGACGGGAGGACAUCCGAGUCCUUUUGCUAUUUUGGAGCAAACAAUAUCCAUGUUUGUAUAUUCCUUGGCAAACGUCACAAAGUGAUCCUUUUGAUGUCGAGCUAUCCCUUGGGAUUUCUCCAUUAGAAGGCAGUCUCAUAUUCCAUCGCCCUUGAUAGCAGCAUUGCUGCAUUUAAACUUUGGGAAUUGCCAUGAGACUGACAUCUGUUAUUGCCCAAAUUUUACUUAAAAUAUGCUUAUAUCUUCUGUUCUAUACAGUGUGCGCUUAUUUAUCAUGAAAUUUAUUGUAAUGUGAUGGGAGGACAUCCGAGUCCUCUUGCUUUCGUGGAGCAAAUACUCCAUGUUUGUAUAGUCCUUAGCAAACAUCACAAAGUGAUCCUUUUGUUGUUGAGGUUUCCCUCCAGGGAUUUCUCCAUUAGAAGGCAGUCUCAUAUUCCAUCGCCCUUGAUAGCAGCGUUGCUGCAUUUAAACUUUGGGAAUUGCCAUGAUACUUACAUCUUUUAUUCCCCAAAUUUUAUUUCAAAUAUGCUUAUAUCUACUGUUCUAUACAAUGUGUCUUUAUUUGUUUACGAAAAGUAUUGUUAUGUGAUGGGAGGACAUCCGAGUCCUUCUGCUAUUUUGGAGCAAACAAUACAUGUUUGUAUAUUCCUUAGCAAACAUCACAAAGUGAGCCUUCUGUUGUUGAGGUUUCCCUCCAGGGAUUUCUCCAUUGGAAGGCAGUCUCAUAUUCCAUCGCCCUUGAUAGCAGCGUUGCUGCAUUUAAACUUUGGGAAUUGCCAUGCGACUUACAUCUUUUAUUGUCCAAAUAUUAUUUCAAAUAUGCUUAUACCUACUGUUCUAUACAAUGUGUGCUUAUUUAUCAUGAAAAUUACUGUUAUGUGAUGGGAGGACAUCCGAGUCCUCUUGCUUUUGUGGAGCAAAUACUCCAUGUUUGUAUAGUCCUUAGCAAACAUCACAAAGUGAUCCUUUUGUUGUUGAGGUUUCCCUCCUGGGAUUUCUCCAUUAGAAGGCAGUCUCAUAUUCCAUCACCCUUGAUAGCAGCGUUGCUGCAUUUAAACUUUGGGAAUUGCCAUGAGACGCACACCAGUUCUUGUCAGCAUUCUAUUUCAAACACAUCCUUUUUGGUUUUCACAUUGUUGUACAAAAUCUUUUUUCUGUGAUGGUAGUCUUUUACAUGGAGCAAACUCUCCCAUGUUUGUAUAUUCCUAGGCUAACAUCGCAGACUAACCCUUUUGAUGUUUCUCCUUCCGAAGGUUGUCUCAUCUCCCAUCACCCUUGGUAGCAGCGUUGCUGCAUUGAAACUUUGGGACUUGCCAUGAGGCAAAAAUCAGCUUUAUGUUCCAUUCAUUAAUCUGAAUGUCAGUUGUUUGUUUGUGUCUGAUCCCUUUUUCUUUCUUUGUGUGGAUUUUGAUUAUGCCUUUGGAUGUAGACAUCUUUGCCUAACUUCAAGGACUAUUUGAUGUUUAAUGAAUGUCAUUUUAAACUCAACUGAACAAUGGCUGUGGGUUUGUUUUGCAGACAAUGCUGGAGUGAUCGUGAACCCCAAGGGUGAGAUGAAAGGAUCUGCCAUCACCGGACCUGUGGGAAAGGAGUGUGCUGACCUUUGGCCCAGGAUCGCCAGCAACGCCAAUGCCAUCGUUUGAGAGCCUGUUUCAAGUUGUGAGACUGCUUAUAUAAUGCCAGUGUGGGUUGCAGCUGUUUUGCCUGGGAAAUAGUGGAACUCUGCGUUGCUCUGUUUUGUUUGGCAUCUCAGUUUCUUAGUGAACAGAAGCCUGCCUGUCUGCUUAGUUUAACAACUGUAACUUCGUUGCCAGAGAAAAUGGUGAACUUUGCGUAUCUCUGUUUUGGUUUGGCAUGAUGAGUUUAUGGGGAGUAUUCAUACAGAAGCCUUGCAUCACAUAACAAUGUUUAUGUGCAUUACCUCUGAUUUAUGUGCGUUGUUUUCAACCCCUCUUUCAAUUUUCAGUAUAAGUGGUCUGUCCUUCCGUUACAUAACAGUAGUCGGCUUGCCUGUAGAUCGAAGAACACCGCGCUUCCAGCAGCAAGACGUUGUUUACCACGAAGCUUUAGAUGUAGCAACGUUACAGCAACUGCAAACACCGGCGGUAGGAAAACAAGUUUGCGCGGAUGAAGCAGAUAAAAUCGUCGCAGAAGCAGCCAAAAAACAACAACAAUGCCGGAUGAAGCAUAUAAAAUCGGUACUGACUUUGACCGGUUCCAGCAAAAGCUCUAGCAAAUUCCGUCGUUGACUAGACGUUUCCAGAAAUACUCAGUGGUUCCAGCAAAUCUGCAUGCCGAUUGCUGCAAACAAACGCCCGCCCUGUCAGGCAUAGGGAUGCAGAGUAUCUUCUGUUAACUGUUGAGGUUUAGAUAACGCUUCUUUAGAAACCAACGACCAGGAUUGCUCCUCACCCGAGCUUCGUCGCGGGCCGUUAGAUCAUUUACCCUACUGUUCUCAGUAGUUACUGUUUACCUUCAUUGUCUUGCCUGCUGGUGAAACGGCUGUACCUAUAAAUACAGCCGGGGUGUGGCUGUCGUGCUCAUUCUAUUCCAUUCCAGAAGAUUGCCUUGAUGGCUUCUAUUAUACUCUUAUAGUUCAUACACUUAUCAAUACAAAAGGGGAUCUGAAGACAGAGACCACUACAAUUCUCGCAUACAAAUUCCUUGAUUCUAUAGUAGAUCCUCACUAGGUCCUGACAAAUUGGUCUCAUGAGCCAUCGAUCCUUGGCGGAGGCGUGUUUCGGGGGAGAAAUUUUCUCUCAGAUCGGCGAUUCCCACCCUUCUUUGUGAUCGGCGACGAUGUCCUGUGGGCAGCGUUGGCGGCGGGGUUGUGGUUGUUGGCGGCGAUGUGGAGGCGCUGCGGGCGGUGAAAUUCGGGCACAGAUCCGUCGAGCCAAAUCGGUUGUUCGAGCACAUUGUUUGAUUGGUAAAAUUCCGAGUUCGUGCGCAGAUCCGUGUGCUACGGCGGCGUGGAUCGUGGUGGUGGCAGGAUCAGAGGUAAAGGCAGGGUUGCUGGGAGUAACCAGUGGUAAAAUUCCUCACCUAAGUCUCUGAUCAAGGCGAUGGGUCGUGCAAAAGCAAUCGAUGAUGCUCAUCUGCAAGAGGUUCUCGCCCUAUGUGAUGAUUUUGGUGUUCUGCACCAAGAUAAUGCAUAGAUGCGCUCUGAGAUGUUCAAGUUACAAGAGGAAAUGCUGUCCAUGAGUGAUAAGCAAGGAGAAAUUUCAAAGCAAGUUGGUAGUGUGGAACAGGUGGUUCUGGACCUUAGCAAAUAAUUAUCUGCAAUGAGUACAGUACUGCAUUCUCUGGUGAAAGCUACAACUACUAAUCCGCAUAGUGAUAUACCAUUUAGUUCUAAUCAAGCUCCUAAAUCCCCAACCCUACAGCAGGAGAAUAUAUAGGACCAGUUGAGCAGAACAGAACAGAGUAAUUGAGAAAGCAGCUAAAAGUAGAGAAAGAGAAAUCAAAGCAAAUAGAAAAGCAACUACAACACUUACCACCCAUCAGGACAGGCAGAGUCCAAGUGCCUCCAGGGUAUGCAAAUACCAUCAGAACAGAAACAAUAUACAACAUUAGUACUCCACUGACUGCAAGAGAUAAUGUUCAUACUCCAGCCUUCAAUCAAUAUUAUCAGCAAAACAGAGACAUACAACUUUGGCAACGAUAUUACAAGACAUAUGAGCAAGAUAUGCAAGCACAAUUCAUGAAAGCGUUGACAAAAGGCCCUAAUUAAACUCGAUUUCCCUAGGUUUUCUGGUGAUGAUCCUGUAGGCUGGUUGAGGCAAUGCAACAAGUACUUUCAGAUGUCUGGAGCUCCAGAAGAGUAUAAGGUUUCUUUAGCUCAAAUGUAUGUCACUGAUGAAGCUGAUAGUGGCUUAGAAGAUAUGGAUUACUAAAGAAGCAGUUGACUUGCAAAUGGUUUGGGGCUGAAGUGGUUAAAAGAUUUUCUGACAAGGGCUCUUAUGACCUAACUGAAAAUUUUAAUUCAGUAAAGCGGUUUCACAGUACAGUGUCUGAAUACACCAAGGUGUUUGAGGACCUAAUGGCAGAUGUACAAGAAGAAAACCCUGAAUUAGGGGAAAUGUGGUUUUGUCAGAUGUUAUGUUAAUGGACUGAGAGAAGGUAUCAAGUACCAACUUAGACCCCUUCGUCCACAAACCCUAACACAUGCUUAUUGUUUGGCCAAAGAUAUAGAACCUUGUCAUCCCCAUAUAGCUGCAGUACCUAAGAAAAAGGGAACAACCUUUAACAACUUCUAUCAGAAAUCAAGCUGGACUGCUCAAGCAAAACAGAGCACUCCUGUCCAUCCACAACAACUACCAACAAGACAAGUUGAAGUGUCUGUCAACAACCCAUAGAAGAUUAGAAAAGUGGGAGAAUGCUGGAGAUGUGGUGAUAAAUGGAUGCAUGGCCACAAAUGUAAGCUAAUUCCCAAUGUUCACUUGUUGCAACAAGAGAAUGAGGAACAACAACCAGAGGAAUUGAAGAUAGAUCUCAACAAGAGCAAGUAGAGGGAGUUGAACAAGAAGAGCAAGUAAUGUUUAUUUCAGCUCAUGCUAUGGGGCAACAAUUAGCAGUUCCUACUCCUACCAUUGUUAUUUACAUCAAUGGGAAAAGAGCAAUUGCUCUGCUGGACUCUGGCUGUACAACUUCUAUUGUUAAUGCACAUUUUGCAGCUAAAGCCAACUGCCACAUGAUUCCAGUUAAACUCAGAGCCAUUGCAGUAGCUGGGGGAGGAAAGUUGCUAUCUAUUGCUGUAAUUCCCAAUUGUGAGUUUCAGAUAGCAAAACUCAAAUUAUCUCAUAAUUUCAGAACACUAGAGUUGCCAGCCAUGAUGUUAUCUUGGGAUAUGACUGGUUUACUGCUAUCAGCCCAGUUUCUUUUGACAUUCCAAAGCAGACUUUUAGUUUUACACAGCAAGGGCAGAAAAUUGUGACUACUACUAUUUAUACCAAUCCUAAAACUACAAAGGAAAUACCAGUAGAAAGAGUGCACAAGCAGAUGGAAAAAGGAGCAGAAGUUUUCUUACUGCAAGUACACUAUAUAUUAAUGGAAGCUCUUGAAGGAGCUAAAACACCUCCUCAGAUACAGAAGCUAGUAAUGGAAUAUGCUGAUAUGUUUGAGGAGCCUACUUCUAUUCCACCUCAUAGAGCUUUGGACCACAAAAUUCCACUUGUUCCUAGAGCCAAUCCUCCUCAUAUGAGACCUUACAAAGUGCCCCAACACCAAAAGUAGGAAAUGGAAGAGCAGAUAAAAAACUGUUAGCUGCUCCCCUUAUCAGACACAGCCAAAGUCCCUAUGCUGCCCCUGUGUUACUAGUUAAAAAGGACAGUUCCACGAGGCUAUGCACUGAUUUCAGGAAAUUAAACUCAUUGACAAUCAAGAACAAAUUUCCCAUACCAGUCAUAGAACAUUUGCUAGAUGAAUUACAUGGUGCUAAAUAUUUUUCCAAGCUAGAUUUAAGAUCUGGUUAUCAACAAAUCAGGAUGCAUCCAGAGGACAUCCACAAAACAACUUUCAGGACUUUCUUGGGUCAUUUUGAGUACUUAGUAAUGCCUUUUGGGCUUUCUAAUGCUCCUGGCACUUUUUAAGAAUUGAUGAACACUAUUUUUGGGCCUUAUUUCAGGAAAUUUGUGUUAGUUUUCUUUGAUGACAUUCUGAUAUACAAUAGAAAUCUAAAGGAGCAUUUGGAAAAUAUAAAGGUUGUCACGUAAGUGUUAAGAGACAACAAACUCUCUGCUAAGCUGUCCAAAUGUGUUUUUGCACUGCAACAAGUGGAAUAUCUGGGACAUGUAAUUUCCGAGGAAGGAGUUGCAACUGACCCACAGAAAAUUACUGCUAUUGCAGAAUGGCCUAAACCUUACACAAUCACUAAGUUGAGAAGUUUUCUAGGGUUAGCUGGGUAUUAUUGGAGGUUCAUCAAGGGCUAUGGCCUCAUUUGCAGACCACUGCAUGACCUAUUGAAAAAGGGCAAUUUCAGUGGACACAAGUUCAUGACCAGGCUUUUUCUCAACUCCAACAUGCCUUAACUAUAGCCCCUGGGCUGGCAUUAUCUAAUUUCAGUAAACCUUUUGUGUUAGAAACUGAUGCAUCCGGGAAGGGCAUUGGAGCAGUAUUAAUGCAAAAUGGCAGGCCCCUUUCAUAUUACAACUCAGCUCUCUGUCCUAGAAAUGCAACCCUCUCCACUUAUGAGAAAGAGGCCUUAGCUAUUCUAGAAGCACUCAAGAGAUGGAGACACUAUCUGUUGGGCAAUGAAGUGGUGAACAAGACGAACCAACAAUCACUAAAGUUUAUCACAGAUCAGAAAAUAAACAGAAGGGGUGCAACAUAAGUUGAUGAUGAAGCUGUUGGAAUUCAAUUUUACAAUCCAAUAUAAGAAAGGAGUUGAAAACAAAGUGGCUGAUGCUCUUUCAAGAAUUAUUCCCAGGUGUUUUGCCAUAUCUGCUGUUACUCAUAUAUGGGUUGAAGAGUUAAUAGCAAGCUAUCACCAAGACCAACACACCAAACAACUGUUGGAGCAACUAUUGGCGCAGAAACAUGAUACAAGUUCCGAAUAUACACUUCAUGCUGGUGUCAUCAGAUACAAAGGAAAGCUGUUAGUGGGAAAGUCCACAGAGCUCAAGAACAAGUUAAUAACAGCACUUCACAACUCCCCUGUAGGAUGACAUUCAGGAAGGAGACCCACAGACCAUAGGGUAAAAAGCAUUUUCUAUUGGCAGGGCUUGAAAGCAGAUGUAGAGAAUUUUAUUGUAGCUUGUCCUAUCUGUCAGAGAGCAAAGCAUGAAACAUGUUUGCAACCUGGGAUGCUAGAUCCCUUUCCUGUGGCAGACAUGGCAUGGCAACACAUAUCUAUGGAUUUUGUGGAAGGGCUCCCCAAGUCCAAUGGCAAGGAUGUGAUUAUGGUAGUAGUGGACAAAUUUACAAAAUACACACUGGUACAACGACGUCCUAAACAAACGGUUUAAAACCCCUUUCCGCAACGGCAUUUGGAACCGUCGCCAAGUGAGUGUGGGCGAUAGGGGGGUCCUUCCCACACGACCCAGAAAUCAUCGGGGAUAGGCCCCCGUGGGACCCAGGCUGGGGCCGUGUGCGAUCGGGCGAGGCAUGGAAACCCAAUCAUUUCCCUAGGUAUGUACAUCCCACACGGUGAAUCCCAGAAAUCAUUUCCGUAGGUAUGUACAUCCCACAUGGUGAAUCCCAGAAAUCAUUUCCGUAGGUAUGUACAUCCCACACGGUGGAUCCCAGAAAUUAUUUCCGUAGGUAUAUACAUCCCACACGGUGAAUCCCAGAAAAUCAUUUCCGUAGGUAUGUACAUCCCACACGCCUACUUUGUGUGGAAACGUUUGUGCAAGGUGGCCUAACGCAAACAAUUCGCUGCCGGAAGCCGUGUGUGAUUGUUAGUUGAUUGAACACGCCUACUUUCUAGAAACCGUGCGGGUUGUUUGAGUUCAUCGCCCACGGUGCUGUCUGAGUAACCAUUUGCAAUAGAAAACCCCAAUAAGCAGGGUAAUUAGCCUAUUAUUGAUAAUCCAUGUACUAAUCAAACUGAUAUUUCUUAUAAAACACGCCAGAUAUUUCAUAUCCGUAUAAAAGCAACCAGGAUUUCAUAAUCGAAUUACAUCAGAUAGCUUCGGCACUCAGUUACGCCAUUACACAACAACACCAAGUUUCACAUGAAUACCUUCCUCGCCUCUUGACCAUGCAGGUGGUUUGAGAGGUAAUCAUCGAUGAACUGAUUUGAAAAGUACUGAAAACAAAGCUAUGCAUAAAUCGCUAUUGUGGCGCAAGGGGUAAAAAGAAGGUAAAAGAGUUGGUACCAUCCUAUAGUUGACUGAUGUCUUCUUCAUUGUGCAAACAAAGAUCUUGUUGUUAUUCGUCGCAAGUUUCUUCAUCCUAACAAUCUUUCUGAGUUUCUUGACUUGACUGAUAUUCAUGGACAUCUCAUUUCCCCAUAUGCAAAAUGGGUCGAACAGUGGGUCUAAGCCUCUGACAGCAGGACCUACAUGUGCAAGACCAAAUUGUAAGAAACCUAAAUAUUAGAAUGAUUCCUGCAACUGCACAAUAAUGUGCUAUUAGCCAAAGGACCCUGCUUGAACAAACCUCGAUGGUAAACCGCAGUGUCUCCCAUUGUUUUCCUGCAACACACAUAAGGAAGAUCUUGAUCAAGUUAACUGAGAGUUGCCAUACUAUCAGUAGAAUAUAUAUUGAGUACAACCAAAUUCGAUUGGUGUCACAUGCAUAACAAUACAAAAUUGUACCCACAACAAAUGAAAAUCAAAUUGCAGAACUGAACCAAACAGUUAAAUGGACAGCAGACCAAAUGAACCAAAAUAGUUAACUAAGCACGACAUUGUAGAAUAGAAACAUGUACUAGAAGAUAAGACAAUUAACAAAACAAAGAAUGCUUGAGAACAGUACUACGAAAUGUAGCAAUUGUUGGACCAAAGUGUUAACUGAACAUUAUAUUUCAGAGGACCAAACUGUUAACUGAACAUCAGAUUGCAUAUUAACAUUACCGAGGACAAAUCACUAGAAGGCACUAGCGGUGGCCUCGAGAAAACAUGAUGAACUGUAUUUUAAAGUAGACAACCGCGCGGCGGUGUUGACGGUGGCCUCAAAGACGAGGUGCUCCUCCAAGAUCUGGCGGCCGACGCGCAUGUCAGCCAUAGCGACCUCGUUCGCACGUGCGACCGCAUGCUACUCAGCUCCACGUUAUACUGCGUGUAAAAUGGCUGUGGGCGGCACUUAAUUGGAGGAGGGAGGCAGUGAUUUCGGUGGAAGGUGUCGCUCCAUCAGUCGGGGCAUGUGGGACGGGAAAGGAGGAGGAUGGUGUGGGUGGGGUGUGGAUUACCUGACCAUAUCGACGAGGCCGUGCAGCAAGAAGAAGGGUCGGCGGCGAGGAGGCCGCGCAGCAAGAAGAAGGGUCACCGGCGAGGAGGCGGCGCUGCAAGAAGAAGGGUAGCCGACGAGGAGGUGGCGCUGCAAGAAGAAGGGUCGUCGGGGAGGAGGCCGAGCUGCCAGUAAGCAGCAGUGAAGAUUUGAACUUGGAAAGCAAGGAGGAACAAUGGAAAUGUGGCUUUUGGUAGGAGGAAGGGGGCGGGGAGAUCGAUAUUUCCGCGGUGGCAAAAAAAUUUCGCUCGGUGCCGCGAGAAACUAGUGCGCAAGUGUGGUUCAAGCGGGGGCGGUGGACUGUAGACGACGAAGCUUCCUGCAUAAGCCAGACAAGACGGUGCGCCAAGAUAUUUUAUAUCGCAUCCCACACGAUUCUUUCUAGUAAACUGUUUGUGGUAUACCUGAUUUUUUCAUUAUGUUUUUAAAGACAAAAUGGUGUUACAGAGGGAAAGGAUGGUGUUUGAAUUGCUAGAACAUUUACGUACAAUGAACACGCAACUAGUACAUGAGUGCCGUGUUUAAAUUUGGAAUUAUUCCGGGUUCGUUUGACAUUUUUAUGCAUUAAUCGAGUUUCUGGGCAUUUAAUGUGCAUAAUUCAAAUUUGAACUACAAGCACAUGCUCCAAUGCACCAAAGUUUGCUGAAAAAUCACAUGUGUGUCUUUGGGUGAAUUUAUAGGUCCCAUGCAAGAAAUGGUAAUAAAAUUCAAACAUUUGGGUGUCGUGGCUCGGCCGGAAUGAUUGAGAAACUUGGUUUUUUAAUUCCUGUAAAUCCAAAACACGGCUGAAAAUCAUGAAACUUGGCAUGAUAUCAUGACAUGGCACCAACAUGCUGCAGUAAUUUUUUUGGCCCAAUUGGGACAAGCUUUGGUGUAAGCUUCUUGCAAACCGGAGCUUCCCUCAAGAAGGCUCCUGGUUCCGAGAGGGAACGUGUCACCUCCGUGAAACGACACACGUACACUGCCUUCUCCCGCCUUAAUUUUUUUACACAGGAAGAUUAGACCAAAUAGAAGUAUCAUGCUAAAUUUUGAAUUUAUUUCGUGUUUUCUGGCCUUUUUUAUACAUUAAUUGAGUUUCUACGCAUUUAAUGUGUAUAAUUCAAAUUUGAACUACAAGCACGUGCUCCAGUGCACCAAAGUUGUUUGAAAAAUCACAUGUGCUUGGGUGAAUUUCUAUGUCCCAUGCAAGAGAUGGGAGUGAAAUUCAAACAUCUGGGCAUCGUGGCUCGGCCGGAAAAAUUGAGAAACUUGGUUUUUUAAUUCCUGUAAUUCUAAAACACGCCUGAAAAUCAUGAAACUUGGCAUGGUCUCAUGACAUGGCACCAACAUGCUGUGGUAAAUUUUUUGGCGGAAUUGGGACAAGCUUUGGUGUAGGCUUCUUGCAAACCGGAGGUUCCCUCAAGAAGGCUCGUGGUUCCGAGAGGGAACGUGUCACCUCCGUGUGCGAAACGACAUACGCACACUGCCUUCUCCCGCCUUAAUUUUUUUACACAGGCAGAUUAGACCAAAUAGAAGUACCGUGCUAAAUUUUGGAAUUAUUCCGGGUUCGAUUGGCAUUUUUUAUACAUUAAUUGAGUUUCUGGACAUUUAAUGUGCAUAAUUCAAAUUUGAAGUACAAGCACAAGCUCCAGUGCACCAAAGUUGUUUGAAAAAUCACAUGUGUGUCCUUGGAUGAAUUUCUAGGUCCCAUGCAAGAGAUGAGACUGAAAUUCAAUCAUCCGGGCGUCGUGGCUCGGCCGGAAAGAUUGAGAAACUUGGUUUUUUAAUUCCUGUAAUUCCAAAACACGGCUGAAAAUCAUGAAACUAGGUAUGGUCUCAUGACAUGGCACCAACAUGCUGCGGUAAUUUUUUUGGCCGAAUUGGCACAAGCUUUGGUGUAAGCUUCUUGCAAACCGGAGCUUCCCUCAAGAAGGCUCGUGGUUCCGAGAGGGAACGUGUCACCUCCGUGUGCGAAACGACAUACACACACUGCCUUCUCCCGCCUUAAUUAUUUUACACAGCCAGAUUAGACCAAAUAGAAGUACCGAUCUAAAUUUUGGAAUUAUUCCGGCUCAUUUCACCUUUUUUAUACAUUAAUUGAGUUUUUGAGCAUUUAGUGUGCAUAAUUCAAAUUUGAACUACAAGCACAGGCUCCAGUGCACCAAAGUUGUUUCAAAAAUCACAUGUGUGUCCUUGGGUGAAUUUCUAGGUCCAAUGCAAGAAAUGGGAGUGAAAUUCAAACAUCUGGGUGUCGUGGCUCGGCCGGAAAGAUUGAGAUACUUGGUUUUUUAAUUUCUGUAAUUCCAAAACACGCCUGAAAAUCAUGAAACUUGGCAUGGUGUCAUGACAUGGCACCAACAUGCUGCGGUAUUUUUUUUGGCCGAAUUGGGACAAGCUUUGGUGUAAGCUUCUUGCAAAUCGGAGAUUCCCUCAAAAAGGCUUGUGGUUCCGAGAGGGAACGUGUCACCUCCGUGUGCAAAACGACAUACGUACACUGCUUUCUCCCGCCUUAAUUUUUUUACACAGCCAGAUUAGACCAAAUAGAAGUACCGUUCUAAAUUUUGGAAUUAUUCCGGGCUCAUUUCGCCCUUUUUAUACAUUAAUUGAGUUUCUGGGCAUUUAGCAUGCAUAAUUCAAAUUUGAACUACAAGCACAGGCUCCAGUGCACCAAAGUUGUUUGAAAAAUCACAUGUGUGUCCUUGGGUGAAUUUCUAGGUCCCAUGCAAGAGAUGAGACUGAAAUUCAAACAUCUGGGCGUCGUGGCUCGGCCGGAAAGAUUGAGAAACUUGGUUUUUUAAUUCCUGUAAUUCCAAAAUACGCUUGAAAAUCAUGAAACUUGGCAUGGUGUCAUGACAUGGCACCAACAUGCUGCGGUAAUUUUUUUGGCCGAAUUGGGACAAGCUUUUGUGUAAGCUUCUUGCAAACCGGAGAUUCCCUCAAGAAGGCUCGUGGUUCCGAGAGGGAACGUGUCACCUCCAUGUGCGAAACGACAUACGUACACUGACUUCUCCCGCCUUAAUCUUUUUACUCAGCCAGAUUAGACCAAAUAGAAGUACGGAGCUAAAUUUUGGAAUUAUUCCGGGUUCGUUUGGCCUUUUUAUACAUUAAUUGAGUUUUUGAGCAUUUAAUGUCCAUAAUUCAAAUUUGAACUACAAGCACAUGCUCCAGUGCACCAAAGUUGUUUGAAAAAUCACAUGUGUGUCCUUGGAUGAAUUUCUAGGUCCCAUGCAAAAGAUGAGAGUGAAAUUCAAACAUCUAGGCGUCGUGGCUCGGCCGGAAAGAUUGAGAAACUUGGUUUUUUUAAUUCCUGUAAUUCCAAAACACGCCUGAAAAUCAUGGAACUUGGCAUGGUGUCAUGACAUGGCACCAACAUGAUGCGGUAUUUUUUUGGUCAAAUUGGGACAAGCUUUGGUGUAAGCUUUUUGCAAACCGGAGUUUCCCUCAAGAAGGCUUGUGGUUCCGAAAGGGAACGUGUCACCUCCGUGUGUGAAACGACAUACGUACACUGCCUUCUCCCGCCUUAAUUUUUUUACACAGCUAGAUUAGACCAAAUAGAAGUACCGUGCUAAUUUUGGAAUUAUUCCGGGUUCGUUUGGCCUUUUUUAUACAUUAAUUGAGUUUCUGGGCAUUUAAUGUGGAUAAUUCAAAUUUAAACUACAAGCACAUGCUCCAGUGCACCAAAGUUGUUUGAAAAAUCACAUGUGUGUCCUUGGGUGAAUUUCUAGGUCCCAUGCAAGAGAUGAGAGUGAAAUUCAAAUAUCUGGGCAUCGUGGCUCGACCGGAAAGAUUGAGAAACUUGGUUUUUUAAUUCCUGUAAUUCCAAAACACGCCUGAAAAUCAUGAAACUUGGCAUGGUCUCAUGACAUGGCACCAACAUGCUGUGGUAAUUUUUCUGUCCGAUUUAUGAAGGCGCACACAUUAACAAUCAACAAAGUCAUUUUGGAACAAGUGCAGUCACGUUAGAAAUCGGAAACACAAGUAUUAUUGAAACCGUGGGCGUUCGACUUACCAAUUACGUGCUGCCACGCGUCCCUUUUUUUAUUGGCUAGGAGGUGCCGUGCGGGGUAGCUAUUUGAGUACGGGAGGCGUGCGAUCAGACCCCUGCGCGUGCUCAUCGGCAGGAGAGCCCUUUGACCGCCACCCGCCGCGCACCUCCCUCCCAACGUGUUCAUUAAUGGCGCCCGAGCACCUGUUCUACGGCGUGGCUAUAUUGUCUCACUGGACUGAGAUUUAAGAGAGAAAAAUGAAAAUCUGAAAAGAAAGUUUUGCAUGGAUCUUGAUGUAAGAUCCGACGGACCUAUAUAGCAUCGACUGCAACUUAUAGCAAGCAUGAUGAAUAUAAGGACGAUGACAGUGGAUAAUAAUUGUCUUACAUAUUUAGAAACAUAAUUAAAAAAAGCCACAUGCGGCAACGCCCGAAAUACACAAGGGCAAAAGAAAAAGGAAGACAACAUUCUGGCUCGCUGAUCUCUACUUUCUUGAUGCGUUGCUGCAGGCUGCGGGAACUAGUCUCCGCGGCGAGCGGCGAUGAGCUCUUUCUUUUCCUCAAGAUGCUGGUUGAGAGCAUACACGGAUUCCUCCACCAGCCUUCUACGCUCCAUGCACAGCAUGGCAUUCUCGUCCAUAAGUUUCUCGACGAUGACGCCGGUCCUCUUCAACAAGGCAGUGUUCUGCUCAUGCUGCUCCGCACUUCCGACGAUCUUCGCCCUCAGCAGGUCGCGCUCGGCCCGGAGCUUCGCAUUGCUCUCAUUUAGUUGCCGGAUGACGUCGGUAGACUGUUCAAACAAGGCUUUCAGGUCAUCCUGCAACCUCACCCACCUGGAGAUCUGAUCCAUCUGCCUAAGGACGAGGGCACGCAUGCGCCUGUAAGACUCCUCGCCUGCCCGCGAGGCAUUUUCCCAGGCCGCUGCGGCGCGGGAGGACAUCUCUUCUGCUUCCGCGGCGCGGCCGGACCAGUCAGCUGCAUCGACGGCGUGGCGGGUCCUCCGUGCUGCUUCGGCGGCGCGGUGGGACCUCUCUGCUGCUACGGCCGUGCGGCGGGACAUGAAUGACUUGUUUGUUUUUCACUUUUUAUGGAUGAGGAGUUGAGGAGGAAUGUGCGGUCAUCUUGGAGUAGUAGUAUUUAUAACCGCGUAGUAAUACACUCCUAAGUGGCAAACAAUUUAGGUUUUGAUCGGUGUGAACAGGUUUGCAAUUUGGAAUGUGACGGGACGCGGCCUCCUUGUUCUUCUAAAAAAAUUGUGACGGGACGCAUGCUCAAAAUUUACUGACGGUUAUAAGUGCACUAUUCCCGGAGGGCGUAACGUGGGCACGUACGCCUUCUCGGCCGCGUACGUGGCGUUUGCACCAUAGGGUGCACCGUAAUAGGCAAUGUCAGCACACGUCUUGUUCCAACAACCGUGCGCGCUCGUUAUUACCAUCACACAUGCUUCUUUUAAUUAGAAUGGGUGUGCCCAUCUAGCGCACACACGUUGAUCUAACUAACUGUUUUAGUUUGUUAUGGCUAAUCGCAAACUGUUCAUCCAUGUGAAGUGUAUGCCAUAAAUUGCAGACACUUUGAUCUGGCUUACCCGUUUCGGUUUAGCUGCCUAAUCGCAAACAAUUAAUCCUUCUGAAGCGUAUGCCCUCAAUCACACACACCUUGAUCUGGCUGACCGUUUAUUUUGUGUUGCCUAAUCACAAACAGUUCAUCCGAGUGAACCGUAUGCUGUAUAUCUCACACACCUUCAUCUGGCUGCCCAUUUCUUUUGUGUUGCCUAAUCCCAAACAGUUCAUCCGAGUGAACCGUAUGCUCUAUAUCGCACACGCCUUCAUCAGGCUGCCCGUUUCUUUUGUUCCGCCUCAUCGCAAACAGUUCAUUAGACUGAAUCGUAUGCCCUGGAUCGCACACGCAACUAAAAUCUGAACCGUGUUUGAUACAUCCUCCAUCGCAAACAUUUUGCAUCUUUUUUGAUGGUUUUUUUACAUCCCCGUUUGUGAUUAAUGCAUCGCACAUAGUUUCGUGAAAGGGUCUCUGAUCGUAGUGUCGCGUUAGCAGCAUCCUGCAGUAGUGACAGUCACUUUGUUCCCUUGUCCCACCCCUACUCAGUUCUUUCAGUGGCACGGGUAUUUGUGGACAAUGUAAUUAAAUUACAUGGCCCUCCCAAGUUGAUUAUAUCUGACAGAGAUAGGAUUUUCACAAGUAAACUGUGGAAAGAUAUCUUUGCUGCAUUAAAAGUGGAAUUGAGGUACAUUAUAGCUUACCACCCUCGAACUGAUGGCCAAAUAGAGAGUUAAUCAGUGUCUAGAAACAUAUUUGAGGUGUAUGACUACUAAUCAACCCCAGAAGUGGUUAUCCUGGCUUUCCCUAGCUGAAUACUGCUAUAAUUCUACUUAUCAUACUGCUCUGAAAAUGUCCCCAUUCCAAGCAUUGUAUAGUUUCCCUCCACCACUUAUCUCAGAAUUGGCAAUCCCCGGCCCUGAUGAUGUGGAGGCACAAGAUUUUCUUUCUUCCAAACAAAAAAUGAUGGAUCACUUGAAGGAAAACUUGUGCAAAUCUCAAGACAGAAUGAAGAGAUAUGGAGAUCUCAAGAGAGUGGAGAGAACUUUCCAAGUGGGAGAUAUGAUUCAUCUAAAAAUGGCCCCUUACAGAUUGGCUGCCUUUGGGUUCAGAUGUGCUCUUAAGCUUCAGAACAAGUACUAUGGUCCAUUUUUCAUCAUUCAAAAAGUGGGAAACUCUGCAUACAAGCUACAAUUUCCUCAGCACGUGUAGAUCCACCCCGUCUUUCAUGUCAGUCAGCUUAAAAGCACAUAGGCACCAAGGCAAUUCCCAGUCCAACACUACCGAUGGUUAACAGUUAUUGAACAAUCAAGAUGGGACCGACAACAGUACUCCAAGUCAGGCAAAUUCCACGCAACAAUCUCCCAGUGGUUGAUUCAAUGGCAAAACAUGUUGGCGGAAGAGGGUAGAUGGGAAGACGCAGAUUUUAUCAAGUAUUCUUUCCCAGAAUUCUUCAAAACAACCACCCAAACAUGGCGGGAGGCAACGAAAACGACGUGAGGACUCGUCAUAACUCAAGAAGGGGGCAAUGUGAGGCACAGAGAUGCAGAUUAUCUUCAGUUAACUGUUGAAGUUCAGAUAACACUUUGUCAGAAACCAACGACCAGGACCACUCCUCACCUGAGCUUCGUCGCGGGCCAUUAGAUCAUUUACCUUACUAAUUCCAGUAGUUACUGUUUACCUUCACUAUCUUUCUAGUGAAACGGCUGUCCCUAUAAAUACAUCCGGGGUGUGGCUAUCGUGCUCAUUCUAUUCCAUUCCAGAAGAUUGCCUCGAUGGCUUCUAUUAUACUCUUAUAGUUCAUACACUUAUCAAUACAAAAUGGGAUCUGAAGAGAGAGACACUACAAUUCUCGGACACAAAUUCCUUAAUUCUACAGUAGAUCCUAGUGCGGUCCUGACAUGCCGUCGUUGUCCAUCACUGGCCAACAAAGCCGUUGCGGCAUGGCGGCGUCUAGGGGCAGGCAACUUGUGCAUCUCUGAAAGAACACACGGGGUCUCUCCUCCCCCCUCUCCUCUCUGGUGAGAAAGCACCAAGCCAUGAGUGAUCAUAUUGUUUUAAGACUAUCGUUAUAUUUAACGAUAUCUUAAGAUCCAAAAACAUGAUCAUCAACAACACUUGAGCUAGUCUUAGAAACGAGACCAGGAAUCAUAUUUUACCGUUUAUUAUUCCAUACGUGCGUAUGAGUUUUCCAUUGAAUCAUAUAUUAAAAAAUCACAGCAGUUAUAUCAUAGAAUAUAAACUCUUAAUUAUAAACAUGGAAAUAUAAUAAUACAAUAUUAUUGCCUCUAGGGCAUAUUUCCAACAUGCCGCCUCCAAUAUUGCCUCCGAUCUCGCCGUCCGGCCUCGCGGCGCCAGAAACCGACCGGAUGGAGUACCCGCAGCCGUCGGGUGCCCCAUAUCAUGCGCCGCCACUUCCAAUACCACUGCUCCAUCUGCCCACACUUCCCUCGGCUGUUCACGCCGACGCUACUGCAACACCUCCUCCCGACGCCAUGAAGAGGAAGCUGCAGGGGAACCACCUCGUCCAAGUGGGUGCAGCCGACGCGACACCACCCUCUUUCGGCCCCGCUCCGGUUCCUCCCGACAAGGUCACCGACGGGAUGAGGAAGACCGCCUCUACCGGCCCGGUCGGUGCCUGGGCGAAGCCCCCGAGGAAGCAGGUGAUCACAUCAAGAGGUCGAGCUCCUCCUCCGCCUCCGGCCGGCCACAGCCUCCCCAUUCACGGCGACAUCACGCCUACCACGUGUUCGAUGAAACGACUUGGAGGUACAAAUUUUUUCCUUUCGCUUGAUUUGCUCCAGUGAUCUUUGCUUCACCCGUGUGGAACUCUUGUUAAGCUUUGGCCGUUAAUUUUUUUCGCCAAAGUGUGCUCUCCACAUAUACCGAAAUGUUGGCUGAGAGUGAGGUGGAUUUGAGUGCCCCAUUGGACGAUUUUGAUGCUCCUCACGUGGAGGUCGAGAUGGAGGUGGAUCAAGCGAAUGACGGUGGUGAUGAAGUGCGAAUGAUCGAGGAGGCCGACUACAAUGUUAGGGUAGGGAGGACCGGCAAUUACAUGGAGACAAAUGAUCUGUGUUUGAUUCAAGCAUGGGAGAGUGUCUCACUUGACACUGUGGUCGGAAAGGAUCAAAACUAUGGAAAUUAUUGGCACGAUCGAGGAUAAAUACCACCAAAUUAUGCUGUUCCCUUCUAGUCGGACCUUGAAAUCACUUCAAGGCCGUCGGGACAUCAUCAACAAAACUUGUGUCCGUUGGAGUGGGUGCUUGGAGCAAGUGUGGAGUGCACCUCCAAGUGGAAUUAAUAUUGAUGAUUAUGUGAGUAUUUCUUCAUCUUCUUGGCUUUGGCUGAGUUGAUUGAAUAAUUUGGGCUCAGACUUGCCCCCAUAUGUAUGUGAUUUCAAGCAAUCCACGGGCCGGUCAUUCACUCUUCAUCAUUGUUGGCGCUUGCUCUGGGAUAGUGAGAAGUAGAGGGUGAGGGACAAUGAAGCUCCCCCAAAGAGAGGUGCCUUCGUCAAAUUGGAAGAUGAGAAUGAUGAUAAUGAUGAUGCACCAAGAGUAUGAAGAAACAAGGGCAAACUAUAUGAAAACAAGAAGGAGAAAGCAAGAGUGAAGAGGACGGUCGAGGAAAUCACUUUGAGAGAUCAAAUUGUGGGAUGGCGAAGAUGAAAGAGACCAUGUUACCGAAAUAUUCGGAUGCUAAAGUGGCCAUGCCCAAGAAGAAAGAGAAGCACAAGGAGGAGAAGUGGGAGAAGAGGUGUGCCUUCACGGAGCGCAAAAUCUCCCAAGAGGAGCAAUAGAGGAAGGACGAGAAGACCGCUAAGGAGGACUGGUUCAUGAUGAUGAAUCCGGAGGGCAUGGAUGCAAUGACAAUAGAAUUUUUGGAAAAAUAAUGGAGAUCAUGUGCCAGAGAAAGACGGAGCUUCAAAAUCUUAUGGCCAGUAGUGGUGUUGGGUUUGGAGGUGGUGGAGGGUUUGUCAUUGGGGGUGGUGGUGGGUUUGGCAAUGGUGGUGGAGGUGGCGUUCAUGCUUCGGCAAACCAUGUGGAUGGUGCUGGUGGUGCUCAUUCUCCUGUCCAAGUUCAUGAAGAUGGUGGUGCUCAUUCUCCGGCCCAAGUUCAUGAAGAUGGUGAUGCUCACUCUUCGGUCAGUGUGGAUGAUGGCGAUGGAGGUGCUAGGGCCGGUGGUGGCGGCGACGGUCUUCGCGAUAAUGAGGAUAUUGCUUUAUUUAUGGCCAAUGGUCAUUUGAGCAUCUUUUGUUUUGCUUGAUCGCGCAUUUGUAAGGCUAAACUUGCUACCUUGUAUGUUGCCCAUGAUUUUGGAUGUGAUAAACUAGUAUGAUGAUGAACUAGCGAUGUAUAUAUAUAAUAAAUUUCGUGUAUUCAUAUGUAAGCACUUGUCAAUAUUUAUCCUAUGAUUUAUUUUGCAGUACCGUGAGCCCUCUAGCGCGGAACAUAUCCCGUAAACAUGUCCCUCAAAACAUUUGCAGGACGGGUUUACGGGAUCUGUUCUGUCGGAGGGUUCACGGUACCAUAAAUAGUCGACGAGAGGAGAGCGUAUGGGGUUGGCAGGUGCAGUUGGCCUGCUUAAAUAGUUGGGGUAGGCAGACCAACACCACUUCAAUGUGGCGUAGCAUGCGGGAGUAGGUUUCUAGGUCAUCGCAUCGGUGUGAAUGCUGGCGCGGUCAACCCUCCGGUCACGUCUGUCUACCCAACAUCAAUGCGGGUAGACGGUGCUCUGAGCGGCAUAAAUGCGCGACGAGGUUUCUGGAGCGUAAGGUGUAGGAAGGUUUUGGGUGGGCCUGUGUUGUCGGACUCAAACUUGACAUGAGUCCGGACACCCGCAAACGUCCCCUGACUUUGAUGCUAGUUUGUGGGAUUUCAAACGUCCAGGUAUGUCUGCUAACGUUUAAGGGACGACGUUGGAUAACAAAAUACGUUCAGACAGACCUAGUUCAGACGUUUAGGGGAGAUUUGGUGAUUAGUGUUGGAGUUUUCCUAAGAUUGUAGAAAGUAAAUCCAGUAGUACUUGAAAGAUGUGUUGUACUACAAGGAAGGAGGGAUAUGAUCGUUAUACUCUGCAAUUGUCCCAUCGAGAGGGGGUGGACCCGACUGAAGGAGAAAUUGCGCAAACACUAAGGGCGUGUUUGGUUGCCGUAGGUUACAGUGGCUGCAUUGUAUAGCCUUCUCAACUCAGCCUGGCUAUGCAAAUGCAGCCUCAAACGCACCAUGUGCAAGUUGUUUGGUUGCCUGCAUGCCCUCUUGCCUGCAUGGGCUGAACCACACUGCCUGGUGUUUGGUUGCCUGCAUGUUAGUGGACAAACCCAAGGUAUGGUGUUUGGUUGUAUGCAACACCUGGUGUGUGGUAACCUCUUUGGUUAGUUGGUGAGGUUACCAUCACACUUCGGCACAACCAUGUAGCACACAUCAUAAGCAGCGCAUAGCAUAAACAGAGCAUCAACUACUUAACAACAUAGUUCAGAUAACAUAGUACCACACAUCAUAACGAUAGUUCAAACAGUUCAACGCAUAAACCAUAAAGCAGACUCGAUAGUACUUAGGAAGGAGGUGCCCCGGCCCUAGUCCCUGGCGGCGAAGGCUUCGUUGUGCUUCCCGCACUUGUUGACCGCCUCAAUGCCAUCAUCGUCGAAGAUGAUGACCUUGAGGGUGUCGGGAGUCAGGAGCUUGAACGCACCAUGUAGUCGAUCUUGAUCCGAUGAACGGCGGCGUAGGUGGCCCAACCCCGAUCCAGGGUCACCCUACCGUUCAUCAGCUUCACUGUCACCCUCCAGGAGCAGCCGAUGUUGUUCCUCAGCUUGAACUCCGUUGGCACCGCGACGAAGUGCUUGGUGAAGUCCAGGGGCAUGGGGAUGCACUCAAGCUUCGGUGCAAGGAUGACCUUGCAGAAGUGAUUUGGGACACCCUCCUCAUGGUAGUGGCCGUAGUUGUGGCGCUUGCUGCUGGGGGGAUCCUCCAUGCGCUCGUCGUCGCCAACCGUUGGCGUCUUCGGUUCUUCCUCGGCGGUGGGCGGCAGCACCACCUCGGGCAUUGGAUGAACCGACUGCUUGCCCUUGUUGUCAACGGCCGGGAGUACCUCCGUGCCCAUCUCAUUGCUCUCCUCGAUCUGCACACAAUUCAUGGAGUCAGGCACAACACCGAGUUCAUGGCUUAUUGAAGAGCAUUUAGUUAAAACGGCAUGAUUGUCACUCUUCCUCCUCCUCUCCAUCGCGCCUAUAUUUACUCACUCUGACCACCACUACUUUACCCACCCCCUCUCUUCUCUCACUAUUAACCUUCCUCCUCUCCAUCGCCAUGAGCUCCAGCUCCAAUGCCAACCCCUUCCCUUGGGGUAUUGGCUGGAGGGCCUUCUUCCUCGGGUGGUCGGCUGGUGACCGCACCAAGUUCGAGAACACCAUGGAGGUGUGCUCGAACUUCGACUCCAUGCCUGACAUGCAGAAGGAAUCUGAUGCAGUGCUCAUGAGGGCCACUGCACAAGAGUUGAAGAUGCUGAUUCCUAACCCAGCGAAGGGCGCGAUGGCAGUCGACAUCAUUCGCUGGGCCAUGAAUCAGGCCAUCUCCGACGAUGCUAAACAGAGGAAGAGGUGGUCCAAGUACAAGAACUACUGGGCUCCUAAUGACUGCCGUGCCACAGUUUACUGGGAGACGACAAUCGUGCCGCCGGUGGACAUUGGUGGGGAGCCUAAGGAGGAGGAAGAACCGGUGCAGAUGCCAGUGAGGGCCCCAGAGCCAGGCCGUCCUACGUGGCAAAUCGACCUCGACUCCGGCGAGGACGACGACAACCCGCCGCCCCGCACGGCGAUGGACAAGAAGAUGAAGGCCAGCCACUCGACCUGCCGCUCCGCACGCCUCAACGGCCGCCGCGGCUAGCCAGUGUCUGUUGUGUACCCCCAAUCCCCCAAUCCCCCUUCUACUCCAUCCACAUCUACCUCUAUUCGGAUCUUGCAUGAACUAGUAUGAACUGCCAUGCUUAUCUACCUCUAUUCCCCAUUCCCCUCUCCGCCGUGGAUCGAAUCUACCUCCGGAUAAAACACGAAAAAGAAGUGCAUGACGAACAGAAAAAUGCUUACCGCCAUUGCCGUGGGCCAAGUGAUGAUCCGCUUGCCGGCGAUGGAGUCCGGUGGUCUUCUUGCUCUCCUCCGAUCCGCCGCCGCCGGUGAGAGUUGGGAGAGUGGGGAGAGGGAGCGGUGAGGGGCGGUGAGGCUAAUAACUGCCGGCGCUUCGGGAAGCAACGCGGCUUCUCGAGCGUGGCCGUGCGCGUGCAGCCGCCGCUGCCCACGUACACCGCUCGGGCCUGGCCCUGGAGAAACUGCCGAUUCGAGCGUUUCCAGGGAACCAGACCCAUGAGUGCUUUAAACAUCGUGCCAUGCAGGCCCAACAGUAAAAGCAGGCAACCAAUCAGCCAAUUUGCGUCCCGCGCGAGCCAAGCCGGGCCUCAUGGAGGCAACCAAACACGCCCUAAAGUCGCAGCCUGCAAAACGGUAGUUCCUCUGUAGUGAUCUAAAAUGUCUUACACUCCCUUCAUUCUUAAUGGAGGGAGUAUACAUAGGUAGUGCUAGGGCAGUACAUACAUAGCACUACGAGAGAAUAAGGUCCAACUGAAUAAGAAGACCUUGUUGUGACCGUAGGCUUUUAUAUACUCGGUCGCGCCUUGUGGAAGCGAAGCAUAUAUAGGUACGUCUACAGGCAAGAGACGAGCCCCAUCCCACGGCCUCUCCCCAUCUCAAAGUCGACAUCCUCUUCUUCCCCCCUUCCCCCCUUUCCCUCUUGUCCAUCAGCAAGCGAGGGCCUGCAGGCGCCAUGAACGGUAACGCCGGAGACGGCGGAGGGCACGAGAGCGGCGGAAGCAACCACGACGACAUGCGGAAGCCGCUGCUGGUGAACACAGGGAGCUGGUACAGGAUGGGGUCGAGCCUCACCGCAUCAUCGUCCAUGGCCAUCAUGGGCGAGUCCCACGUCCGCCUUGCUCUGCACGCUCAUCGUGGCGCUCGGCCCCAUCCAGUUCGGCUUCACCGGCGGCUUCUCAUCGCCGACGCAGGACGCCAUCACCCGCGACCUCAGCCUCUCCAUCUCCGAGGUCACCACCAUCCUCUUCCAUAGCCCGUCUUUGUUUACUGUGUUACCUCUGUUGCGGCCGCCUCGCUGGCUUGGCUUGGCCCAGGAUCUCAGUCACUGACGAGGCUGUGGCUGUGCAUGGCGUGCCGCAGUUCUCGGUGUUCGGCUCGCUCUCCAACAUCGGCGCCAUGGUCGGGGCAAUCGUCAGCGGCCAGAUGGUGGAGCACGUUGGCCACAAAGGGGUGAGAUUUCCCCCCCUUAGCCUGCUGCUUGUCUUCCUCUACCAUGCCAUUGCGAGGUCGACCGGUUUGUUACCUGUUGUACUUAAGAAGGGUCAAUGUCAGUCCUUUUGCUGAUCGAUAGUCCCAUCGCAUCCAACAAAUUAAAUAGCAAUGCAAUCUUCUAGGCAAUCCAUCUAUUUUUACCAUUUAAAGCAAAUAAAACAGAAGCAAAUAUAUAUGAUUUUAUCAUUCUAAACUUAAUUAUGUUAUUAUCAACACAAAUGAAUCAGACAGCCAACCAUCACAUAUCUCAUGUAAUAGUAGAUGGACGCGGUCCAAGACGAUACUCCCUCCAUUCCGAAAUAUGUCAUGGUUUUACUUCGAGACUUUCUUCUUCUCGCAUCACAGUCGACCACCUGCUUCGCUAGAAAAAGAAGUGUGGCAUCCAUGGGCAACACGUACUGCUGCAGCAUGUUACCAACUACCCAGCCUACAAUUGAUCCUACACAGUGUGUUGCAAUAGUAGGUGGAUCGGUUGGUGCAGCGUCAAUGAAUUAUUGCUCAGCCCCGCAAAACCAAAAAUGAAUUAUUGUUGAGGCUGUUUAUAUGGACCAUGAAAACUGUGGGUCCACAGGUUGCUUGCCGGGAGACCACGGUGUACCACAAUAUAGAGACGGGCCGGGGGACAUGGGCCAAUGGACCACCGCUGGCGGCCGAUUUGGGUGUUUUGACCAUUUUACGAAAGUUUAGCGAGAUCUGACCUUAGUUUGAUUUUUUUUUUGAGAUCUGAUCCUUUUCCUACCGUCAGGGUCGAUGGCGGUAGGAUAUACCAGUCUACCAACGAGGCCCUUGGCAAUAGGGGUGCAUGCCCUACCGCAAUAAUUUUGAAGUAUCAAAUAAAGUGCGUGUACUACCGAACACCUCGACGGUAGGGGUACACAAGCUACCGCCAGCCUGUUUGGUGGUAGGGUAGCACUGCGCUGACGUGGAUAAGUUCCUAGCGCCGGACACCUCGGCGGUAGGGGUACACAGGCUACCAUCAGCCUGUUUGGUUAUAGGGUAUCACUGCACUGGCGUGGAUAAAUUGCCUACCACCAUGCGCCUUGGCGGUAGGAAAAAUGUCAGAUCCCGAAAAAAUUUCAAACCAGGGUUAGAUCCCGCUAAACUUUCGCAAAAGGGUCAAAACACCAAAUUUGGCCACCGCUGGCGGAGUUGCACUGCAGCACGGAGAGGAGAGAGAGACAGAGAGAGAGGGGGGAAGCCUAUAUCGUCAUAAUGAGCCACUGCAACAACAUCAAUAGUGAAGUGGGUGAAGGAAAAGUAUAUAGUUAGGCUGAUCGUAAUGCUUAAAUUUAAUUCUUGGUAAACAAUUUCACAUAAUAUUGAUGGAAACAUAAACAGUAUGAUACAGUGAGUUGAAUAGGAAGAAACUACUCUCUCCGUUUCAAAAUGAACCAAAACCACGACACUUAUUUUGAAAUGGGGGGAGUACUAGAGAAACGGCUAUUGGUCUUUGUAUUAUCUAUAGAGAGUGAAAAGCAAGCGAUAGAAAAGAUAGUCCGCGCGUCGUCCGGACGGGCGGCACGAGCAGCUUUCGAUCCAAUCUCUCCAUGACCUCCCCACCUCUCCCGCUUCCCUUGCCGCCAUCAGACGACAUUGCCGGGCAAAGCCCGUGCGUCUGACGGCAGCAACGGGGCUCCAGGCGACGGCUUUGAUGCAAGGCGCGCGCGAGGGCGAAUGACGAAUCAGCAACGAUCUUCAUGUAGUGGCGGGCAGCUCAAGCGAUCUCCGUGCAGCGACUGGGCGGCGUUCUAGACGCGGCAUGGUCACGCCUUGGCAAUGGUCUGAGUGCAGAUGACCAUCUAUCCUCCAUGUUCGUUUCGUGGGGGCUCAACAGCCUGUGUAGUUAAGGUCCUACAGGUUUGGAGUCUGGUGCACUGCUACUCUAGCUAUCCAAGCGUUGAGCACAAUGGCGUUGGUGAUAAGGGUCGUCCACCUUCUCUGAUGCACUGUGUCCUAUGGAGACCUCCCCGGCAGAUCACAAGGUGACGGGUGGUCGGUGGUGGCGCCUCAGGUCUCAGGUUGGCAUGCCGAUGCUUGGUGCUUGACCACUAGGUAGUUCGUCCAAUCACGAAGCACACUUGUAGCAGCUGGGAAUGCGGAAAGUGGUGGCGAUAACACAUGAUGACAUUGAUUUGGUGGUGCUUCUCAAGUACCCGGUCUCGAGUUCCGGGGUGAAAACCUAUGGUCUGACCUGAACCCGGCAAUGGCGAUAUUUUUGCCUCGUUACCUUAUUGAGGGCAUUGUUCAUAUGUACUCAGACUUGUUUCUUGAGGGUGAAAACCUAGAGCCUGGCCUUUAAUGGUUGGAUCUAGUGAUGACGAUGUUUGAGCGUUGUUUCCUUCCUGAAGGCGUUGCUGUUGAAGAAUCUUUCUCAUUGUCCUUGUAGUGUCAAGAGAUGGUUGAUGCGGAUAUGGUCAUUGUCGUAGAUUAUCGACCGUUGUUUUGAUCGUUUUAGACUUUUCUUUUUGGCUUAGGCAUAGAUUGGAUCUUGUAUGACUUCGCUUUUGUCCAGCUUAGUUUUUCUUUUGUGUGUGUGCGUUAGUGUGGCUGUGUGCAUCCUAGUUAUGCAGAGGCCGGGUGUGUGCUCAUUGUGUUUGUAUCACUUUGAUGCUUCACUUUGAGUCAAUAAAAUCCACUAUUUAUCGAAAAGAAAAGAUAGUCCCACAAAUUUUCAGUUUUCAUAAGACANNNNNNNNNNNNNNNNNNNNNNNNNNNNNNNNNNNNNNNNNNNNNNNNNNNNNNNNNNNNNNNNNNNNNNNNNNNNNNNNNNNNNNNNNNNNNNNNNNNNNNNNNNNNNNNNNNNNNNNNNNNNNNNNNNNNNNNNNNNNNNNNNNNNNNNNNNNNNNNNNNNNNNNNNNNNNNNNNNNNNNNNNNNNNNNNNNNNNNNNNNNNNNNNNNNNNNNNNNNNNNNNNNNNNNNNNNNNNNNNNNNNNNNNNNNNNNNNNNNNNNNNNNNNNNNNNNNNNNNNNNNNNNNNNNNNNNNNNNNNNNNNNNNNNNNNNNNNNNNNNNNNNNNNNNNNNNNNNNNNNNNNNNNNNNNNNNNNNNNNNNNNNNNNNNNNNNNNNNNNNNNNNNNNNNNNNNNNNNNNNNNNNNNNNNGCCUGGUGUGUGCUCAUUGUGUUUGUUUCCCUUUGAUGCUUCAUUUCGAGUCAAUAAAAUCCACCCUUUAUCGAAAAGAAAAGAUGUAGUCCCACCAAUUUUCAGUUUUCAUAAGACAUACCGUUCCAACCAAAUCUAAAGUUGCAUCGCAGCCGAAGGGGGGGGGGAGGAGAGAUAGAGUACAUAAUCCUAAAAAACACUGCUCCAUGCUCCUCAGACGGGCCCCGCGCGCGCGUCACAGGAGAACCCUAGGCGCCACCAUCGUCGGGAGCUUCCUUCCUCUCCUUGCUCCUCCCUCGUCGCCGCCGGUGGUGGCGAGGCUUUCUUGGCUCCUCGCAUGGGUGCCAUGGUGCGGGGCACAAUGGCCUUGCUGGGAUGCGACGCUGGCGAGGGGCACCGCAGCGCGGCGGCAUGCCGGUACUCGGCAACGGUGUCAUGGUGGCGGUGUGUCGCAGAUCUGGCGGUAGGGCUAUGGUAGGCGGUGCAUGGUUCCGACGGAUCUCUCCGUUCUCCUGGCACCGAGCCGGUGGCGCGCAGGGCUGGACGGUUGUCGGUUGCGGGCUGAGCUUGCCGCAUGCGCGACGACGAUGUCUUUCUCCUAGGGCUCGCGCUUGGGUGGGCCAAAUUUGGACCCGAGGCAGGUCGGUGCGGUUGCACCGGGUAGGUGAGAUUGGGUUUGAUCCGAGUAGUUCCCACGAGCUGAGAUCCCUCUUCUCGCGGGUGCGGUGGUAGGUGGUGGUCGGGACCCCAUUACUCUAUCGGGCAGAUCGGUGUCGAAGACCUCAGACAUGGCGUUGUGUGAGCCUGCUCGACGAGGGUCGUCGGUAGCCAUGGGGUUGUAUCUCCCUAGUCCACCGGGACUGGCUGGAGACGUAGGCUUCAGUGCCUCCUACUGCGGAAACGUUGAACCAGACUCCAUGGCUGAUGUCAGGCUAGGAGUGAAAGAAGACACCUUUUACUCCUACCGUAGUGGGAUCUAUGCAUACGUCUAUCUGGUUAAGUUGUUCAGAAAAGAAGAUCAACAGGAUGUCAGUAUUGUGGGGACAAGUUGACAAUCCCACUGUGAAGUUUAUUUGUUGUCAUAAGAUGAUAAGAAUCUUGCACUAGUUAAAAUACUUAGUCUUGAUCUGUGAGUUAUGUGAUAACAGGUGCCCGUUUACAUAGCAGAGAUUUCUCCUCAGAACAAGAGGGGCACUCUAGGCUCUGUGAACCCGGUAGGCCUAUCCUCCCAAGCAUCUUGUUUUCUUGUCAAGCAACGACCUAUUAGCUUUGUUUAUAUGCUGGGCUCAUUAUGCGAUUGUUCAUUCCACAGUUGUCUAUAACAAUUGGGACGGUGUUGGCCUAUGUGGUCGGCAUGCUUGUUACUUGGAGGAUGCUUGCGAUGAUAGGUAACAUGACAAAGUGUUGAUGCGUUAUUCAACUGUGUUGUUUUCACUGUCAGUUUUCACUUAACCUCUGAUAUUUGAGUUCAAAAGAUCAGUAACAGUAAAUGCCAUGUCAAAAAAUAUGACUAGAAUGGCAAAUAUUUCCAUUUAAGCUUUUGAAGGAAAAUUUACCGUGUCAGUAAUCUAUGCUGAUCUCGCUAGUACGUUAUGGGCUUAAGCGAAUGUGGACGCGUCUAGUGUCUGAACCUCUGACUAUUUCUGAUUCAAAUCUCUGGGUUGUGAUUCUUCUAGGAACCUUGCCAUGCACAAUAUUGAUACCUGGCCUAUUCUUCAUUCCAGAAUCUCCAAGAUGGCUGGUUUGUAUACGCAAAUGUAUACAAAGUGCUGCAUCAUUCUGAAAUUUUAUUAACCACUCUUGUGCAUCAAUCUCUAGGCAAAGAUGAACAAGAUGCAUGAUUUUGAAGCCUCUCUACAAGUUUUGAGAGGAUCUGAGACCGAUAUAACCUCAGAAGUGAAUGUUAUAAAGGCAAGCACCUUCCCUUUUUUUUCUUCAAGACUGACUAACUACAAAUAUAUCUAUGUGACGUACUUUCAGCUAGCCACCAAUGUUUGCUUUAACAUUCUGCACAUGAUGCAGACAGCGGUAGCAUCAGCAAACAAAAGGACGGCAAUCCGUUUCCAAGAGUUAAACCAAAAGAAAUUCCGCAUGCCCCUGAUAGUAACUUCCCUGACAUGCUGGUUUAUUUCAUACCAAAAUUCAUAAUUACAUUUUGUAAUCGUGAUUGUGGUACAACUUGGCAGCUAGGAAUUGGCCUGCUUGUACUACAACAACUAAGUGGGAUCAAUGCUAUACUUUUUUAUGCAGGUAGCAUCUUCAAAACUGCAGGCAAGUUGUACAAUUUGGCUUAUUCGAUUUCCUUCAGUGCAUUACUAUAGUGUUAUAUUAUAGUCGAUUUCAGCUUCUAUAUUCAACAUGAAAAGCUCUUCAGGUCUUACAAACAGCAAUUUGGCCGCAUGUGGAGUUGGAGCUAUUGCGGUGUGUAACUUGAUAGAUCUUUCUUGUCUCUUAGUAGUUCACGUUAAGGUGCUAACAUCAUUUAUCACCAGCUUCUUGCCACUGGAGUUACAACCUGGUUACUAGACAGAGCUGGCCGACGGAUCCUACUUAUUGUAACUUCCUCCUCUCUUUGAAACCAGUUUGUUACUGUAGUUGUCUAUAACUAUAAUUUAGCUCUCACUUCAACUUCCAGAUCUCUUCUGCCGGAAUGACCGUAAGUCUUCUUGCAAUUGCCGUCAUAUUUUUUCUCAAGGUAUGUUCAGGUAUAUUUAGUAUAGGGUACCGGCAUAAAUAAAAUAUAGAAUACAUACACCACACCCUUAUAGUAGUCUAUUACGUGGAUCAGGGAUUUUAUUUUUUGAUUGGUGAUAUUAUCUCUGGGUCUAUUCUGCCGAAUAUUUCUCUUAUAUUAUUAUGAUUUAUUUUUUCCAGGACAAUGUUCCACAAGAUUCUGACAUGUAUUAUAUAUUAAGCAUGGUCUCCUUGUUUGCUAUCUUGGUAUGUCGAUCCGCAAACUAGAUUGUUUGGUCUGAAUAUUUACAUGGCAAAUCCAUGAGUUGCUCCCAAAAUACUAACCUGACAUUUGUUCAGGCUUGUGUAAUCACCUACUCCUUCGGUAUGGGCGCCAUUCCAUGGGUCAUAAUGUCUGAGGUAAUAUAGUGAAUCCACAUACUGUAUAUAGCACCAUAGCUCAUAAGUAAUGUGGUUUAGGCAUGUCACAGGAGCAUUCACAUAACCAUACCUCUGUACUUGCUAUGUGUCUGUAGAUCCUGCCGGUUAGCAUCAAGAGCCUGGCGGGAAGCUUCGCGACGCUCGCCAACUGGCUAACCUCCUUUGGGAUGACAAUGACAGCAAACUUGCUGCUCAGCUGGAGUGCUGGAGGUUCACACUAUAUUCCACCCUUCCCUCGAGUAGGAUUAUGGACCUAACAGAGAUCAUUUCUGCUUGUUUACGAUCUCAAACAGGUACCUUUGUGUGCUACAUGCUCGUGAGCGCUUUCACGCUUGUGUUCAUCAUCCUCUGGGUUCCGGAGACCAAGGGAAGAACUCUCGAGGAGAUACAAUGGUCAUUCCGCUGAGCUCGGUAGAUUUUCAUCGUAAGUUGGAAUUUUUCUUUGAGUUGGGCAUCAUCCACAUUUUACAAGUCCGAUUGCUCAUAUACAACGUUAUUGUCUGUAUAUUCCUGUACAUCAUUGUUUCAGUUGACUUUGUAUAGAGGGCAUGUGAUUGUUGUGCUUUGUUAUGUUUAUCUGGGUUCCAUAAAACGAUGUUUAUUUUUGGGUCUAUUGGACUUGUUGGCUGUGUGCAUCUCUCUAUGCAGAGGCCGGGCAUUCUUCCGAUGCGGUUGUAUCACCUCAAUUUAUCUGGGUUCUGUGUCUGUGUAGCUGGUGCUUCCUCUCUGUUAGCAAGGUGUUGCCCGCCAAGUCUAAGGGUUUGUAGCAAGCAAUGAUUUUUCUUCAAAUUGGAUGACCUUAAUCUUUGUCAAACCAGUAGGAGCUUUGGACUACAACCAAUGAUAAGUACCUUCACGACAUCUUGCAUUGUGCGAGGGCGUGAGGAGAAUAGGGUGAGUCAUUAGGACGCUUGGGGAGCAUUGUGCCUCCACAACCCUCCAACGGAGACGUGUCUCCCCCAAAGGAGGGAACUUCGAAAACACAUCUUUGUCUCCAUUGACGCCACUUGCGAUUAUUUCGGUCCUUUACUUGUGCUAGUUUAUAUAUUGUGUUUUACUCUUGCUUGCACUUGUUGUUAGAAGGGAGAGAGAGAUUUGGUGGAAUAGUUUGUUGUAUUGCUUGAGCCUCGUGGGCAUAUAUAUAGGAGUACAAUGAUCAACUUGGAGUACAAGACAAGCCAGAACAAAUCCUAGUCUAUCUCGUCUUUCCUAAUAAUCAAUAUAUUCAACAUCCCCCCGCAGUCACAACGGCAACGACGCAGAUGGCGAGACUGGAGAAGAAUCCGAAGGCAAGCCCACAAACACCCCCCCACAGUCGUAACGGUCGAUGCAUCGCGGAAGUCGUGGCUGGAGUGGAAACCAACAAGAUUGCUCAAGCAAGGCGGUAGCCCUUUGUGCCGUUUGUCUAAGUAGCCGAGAGCGUAGGUGGUGUAGCCGUGUGAAGAACGCCGUGGUCGAUGUCGAAUCGGGGUAGCCGGUGUCGAGGGAGUCGCCGUGGAGCCGCGGGCGCAAGGAGGCGCCGAGUUAGUAUCGACGCAGUGGUGUCGAAGUAGUGGUGCGCGGGGAGGAAGACGGUGUUGACGACGCGUCGCGGCGGGUUUGCCAAGCCCCGGGACACAUCGUGGACGAAGGCACGCAUCGGUAUUGCCAGCACCAGGCAUGCAUAGACGAACGAAGACGAAGUUGAUGAAGCGCCGACUAGGCUUGCCAGGCCCGAGGACACCUCGUGGAUGAAGGCACGCAUCAGUGUUGCCAGCACUGGGCAUGCAUAGACUGGGACCUACACGAGCUGUACGCCAUGUCGGAGAAGUCAAAGAGGCCAGCAGAGAAGGACUCGACGACGUUUGCGGCGCCAAUCGACGCGGGGCCGAUGUCGCCCGCGGUUGUCGUAGUAGACGAAGUGGUCGGGGUAGAUGACGGUGACGCUGGCGACGGGCUAGUGCUGGACGAAGACGAAGGAGGUGGACGGGCAGCGGCGGCGGCUAUGGGGGUAGCAGCAGCGGCGACCGAAGAAGAGCGACAGCGGCGACCUGACGGCAGCGGCGACUAGGUUAGGAGCGCGGCGGCGGUGCUCGAAGGGGGCGAAGAACCCGACAAUGUGAUGAAGACCGGUGCGAACGAUGGCGUUCCCGCGCCGAGGAAGACGUCACGACGCAUACCAUGGGCGGUCGACGCGUGGUGACGGCAGAGGGGACCGCGGGCCACGGCGCUACGUCCCGAAGGGGCGACACAGCGGCGGCAGGCAGGUUUGGGCGACGGCGGAAGACCUCGGGGCGGUUGCGGGGGCCGCGGGCCACGAAGCGACGGCCCGAAGGGGCGGCGCAGCGGUGGAAUCCGGGGCGGUGCAACCGCGGGAACGGUCUCGGGACGGCGGCAUGGACCAUGUGCCACGCUCGCUAUGCGAUGGGGCGACGCAGCGGCGGCGCGAGGGUCGGUGCAGUCACAGGGACGACCUAGAGCGGUCGGCCUUGAGGUGGCGGUGGACCGCGGGACGCGACACUACGACCCGAAGGGGUGACGCGGGUCGGUGCAGCCAGUAGAAGAACCACGGGGCGGCGGCGUUGCGGCCCGACGGGGCGAUGCAGCGGCAGCCCGUUGCUCGAUCGGUGGAGGGGCGCACUGAACUCGGGACGGUCUCCACGGGGCCUGCGAAGGCGCGCACAACCAGCGGGCCAGGUCAGUCGGACGGCAUAGAUGAGGCGGAUCGCGGUGGCGGGCGGGUGAUCAAUCCGAUUGCGCGUGAGGUCGGGGAUGUCGCUUGGUGGAGGCGGAGUCCGAGAUGAAGCCGGCGACGAUGGUCCGCGGGGCGGCCAUACACGCGCGGCGUAGAUCGGAGGGCGGGCUGGCGCGCGAACGACGGCUAUGAUGGGCCGCCGCAUGGCGCGAGGCCUGCCGGGUCGAUGUAAUGCAGGUGUCCCGGUCGAAGAGGGUGGUGACGGCUGGCGUAGAUCGACAAGGGGAGCGGUGCACGGACGACGGCUGUGAGGGGGCGCCUAUCACGCGAGGCCGCCGGGUCGAUGGAGAAGUCUGCCGGUCGCGCCGGUGUCGGAGUAGAUGCGCUCGGGGAUCGGCGGCGGCGGCAGAUGACGCAAACCGAUCAAGCUUAGAUCAGAAAACCAAAAAGAAAACGCCGAUCAAAGCGACCAAUGAGAGAGAGAGAGAGAGAGAGAGAGAGAGAGAAAACCCGGAGCAAGGGCUCGGGAAAAAGACUCUCUAGGGUAGCUGNNNNNNNNNNNNNNNNNNNNNNNNNNNNNNNNNNNNNNNNNNNNNNNNNNNNNNNNNNNNNNNNNNNNNNNNNNNNNNNNNNNNNNNNNNNNNNNNNNNNNNNNNNNNNNNNNNNNNNNNNNNNNNNNNNNNNNNNNNNNNNNNNNNNNNNNNNNNNNNNNNNNNNNNNNNNNNNNNNNNNNNNNNNNNNNNNNNNNNNNNNNNNNNNNNNNNNNNNNNNNNNNNNNNNNNNNNNNNNNNNNNNNNNNNNNNNNNNNNNNNNNNNNNNNNNNNNNNNNNNNNNNNNNNNNNNNNNNNNNNNNNNNNNNNNNNNNNNNNNNNNNNNNNNNNNNNNNNNNNNNNNNNNAUUAGGCUGAUACCAUGUUAGAAGGGGAGAGAGAUUUAGUGAAAUAGUUUGUUGUAUUGCUUCAGCCUCGUGAGCAUAUAUAUAGAAGUACAAUGAUCAACUUGAAGGACAAGACAAGUCAGAACAAAUCCUAAUAUAUCUCGUCUUUCCUAAUAAUCAAUAUACUCAACACUUGUUACUUGCUUAGUUUGUCAGAUAGGAAUUACCCCCUCUCUAGUUGACCAUAGCGAUCCUUUCACCGGGGCGUUCAACUGCUCGUGCUACCCGAGCACGCGCCGCCGCGAGAGCCCCAUCCAACCACUCCUUCGCACAAAUGGCUGGAAUCUGAUCGAGGCAAGGACCCUUCUCGUCUCGGAAGAUAAUUACCACAAUCCGUGGCUACAUCGUUCAAGUGCCCUAGUGGAGCCAAAUCAAGAAUCACAAAUAUUGAAUCAAAACAAGACGAAACAAAAUCAGAUGGGGAAAUACCUGGCACAUGGUCGUGAGUGACUGCUGAGGGAGUCCUGGAUUAAGGGGUCCUCGGGCGUCCGGCCUAUGUGACGUGGGCCAGACUGAUGGGCCAUGAAGAUACAAGAUAGAAGACUUCCUCCCUUGUCCGGACGGGACACUCCUUUGCGUGGAUGGCAAGCUUGGCGUUCGGAUAUGUAGAUUCCUUCCUCUGUAAACCGACUUUGUACAACCCUAGUCCCCUCCGGUGUCUAUAUAAACCGGAGGGUUUAGUCCGUAGAGGCAAUCACAAUCAUACAGGCUAGACAUCUAGGGUUUAGCCAUUACGAUCUCGUGGUAGAUCAACUCUUGUAAUCCUCAUAUUCAUCAAGAUCAAUCAAGCAGGAAGUAGGGUAUUACCUCCAUCAAGAGGGCCCGAACCUGGGUAAACAUCGUGUCCCCCGUCUCCUGUUACCAUCGACCUUGGACGCAUAGUUCGGGACCCCCUACCCGAGAUCCGCCGGUUUUGACACCGACAUUGGUGCUUUCAUUGAGAGUUCCACUGUGACGUCGAAGAUAGGGUUGAUGCUCGCCUUGUCAUCAAGGACAGUAUCACCACCGGAGGAGCCCUGGCCUCAGGCCAAACCCUCCGGCUGGGCGGCUUUACCAUGACCGCCCGUUCGGCCGUCAAGCCGACGAUGACUUCUCAAGUCAUCGAAAAUUGUCUCCGUAUCGACUCCGAAUACUCCAAAUGGAUGGAUCCGGCGGAGUUGUCGUCUUUAAACGAACUCCCAGAUCGCAUCGCCACCAUUGGGGUCGCUACAGACUACGAUCGGAUUGGGCUUAAACCCGAUCAGAGAGAAAUCAAAUCUCCGCCGAUCACCCAUCAGAUAACGAUAGUAGAGGAGCAAAACAAUAAAUCUUCCUCGAUGUUGAGGAUGAACUAUGUUCGGAUUUCUGAGCUCGAAGAGCCGGAUACCUGUCUGCGGAACGACACGCCCUGUCCUCUGAACCUAGAAUCGGACGUUGGGCCUGAAAAAUCAGUUGACAUCCCGGAGCCCGAGCCAUUAAGCUCGGAAGCUUUUCAGACUCCGGACCCCAAAUUGGGUCAGGGUUUGGAUUUAAAGCCACCCACCCACCACAAGCAAUAUUCGCCAAACAAUUCCGGACCUCCGGAUAUAUGCGACCUCAUGUACGUACGACAGCAGUCUCAAGAAAUAGUCCAUCACUUUUGGGCCAGAUUCCUCCUUGUCAGAAACAAGAUUAAAGAUUGCCGCGACGAGGACGCGAUUUCAGUAUUCUGCAAUAAUUGCACGGAUGGAGAAUCCUCAAUGCCAUCAACUGCCGUCGCGUAUUACACUUCGCUGACUUGGCAACCAUAGUACAGAAUUACUGCGCAAUGGAAAGCGCCUGGAAAACUCAGACGGAUUGCUGGGAACCACCGGUUUCCACUCAACCCCUUGGGCGGGCAAAAAGGAUGCACCCUCGCGGGGCGCCCGACCCCAUAGUAAAGAAAACUAAGCCCAUUACGGGACGCGGAACAGUUCUGGAGGGAUGGCUUGACAGGCCAUGCAAAAUACACACGACACCGGAUACCGUACCAACCCAUAGCCUUAGAGCAUGUCGGAUACUCUGGCAGGUGGCCAAGAGUGGCGAGGAUAUCCUCACCAAAAACACCCUAGAGCAACACCCCCCGGAAGACAACGACCUCAGAGUAUUGACGGUCUUCUAGACUUUCGCUUCAAACAAUCGGCGCAAGAGGGCACUCUGCAACCUCGCCGAAGUCUGCCAAGUCGCAGCAAUAAACCCCUGGAAUGACACGGCCAUAACUUUCAAUGCUGUGACGAACCAAAAUUCAGGACAGUCCGGGCACCAGCCGCCUUGGUCCUCCAUCCAACCGUGGACGGCUUUCGGCUCACUAAAGUGCUCAUGGACGGCGGCAGCGGACUAAACCUCAUCUACGAGGAUACACUCAACAAAAUGGAAAUAGAUAGGAGCCGCAUCGAGCAAAGCAAUACGAACUUCCGAGGGAUUAUUCCCAGCCGGGAGGCGCGAUGUGCGGGGAAUAUCACGCUCGACGUGGUAUUCGGCACGCCGGAGAACUAUCGGUUCGAAGAGAUAACCUUCCAGGUGGCCCCUUUCAACAGUGGAUAUCACGCCCUGUUGGGGCGAGAUGCAUUCACACGCUUUCAAACCAUACCCCAUUACGGGUAUAUGAUGCUCAAGAUUCCCGGGCCCAAUGUUAUUAUCACUCUCGCCGGUGAUCCGGACAUAGCACUCUGGCCCUCGAGGCACUGUCUGAAGCCCUCGCGGCCGAAGAGUUAAUCGCACUACGCUCCACGAUGGAUAGGACGACGUAAUCCUGGAUAAGCGACCCAAAUCCACCUCCUUUAAACCAGCAGACGAAAUAGUCAAAUUUCAAGUCCACCCUACGGACCCCAAGAAGACAACUUCCAUCGGGGCACAGUUGGACCCAAUGGUUGACGCCGCAUUACGAGAGUUCCUGCGCGAGAACUGGGACAUAUUCGCCUGGCACCCUUCUGAUAUGCCAGGAAUCCCACACAGGUUGGCCGAACACAGCCUCAAUAUAUUGAAGCUAUAUAAGCCGGUCAAGCAAACACUGCGGCACUUUUCGGAACCCAAAUGACAAGCUAUGGGGGAGGAGCUAGCCAAGCUAACCGAUGCCGGAUUCAUCAGAGAAACAAAACACCCGGACUGGCUAGCAAACCUGGUGAUGGUGCCAAAGAAGGAUAAAUCCUGGCGCCUGUGCAUCGAUUUCAAAGACCUCAACAAGGCUUUCCCUAAGGAUCCCUCCCCCUCCCUCGCAUCGAUCAGAUUAUUGAUGCUACCGCAGGACACGAUUCACUGUGCUUCCUCAACGCAUACUCCGGAUACCAUCAAAUCAAAAUGAAGGAGUCCGAUCAAGCCGCAAUGGCAUUCAUUACCCCAUACGGGCCUUUCUGCUUCAACACUAUGCCCUUCGGGCUCAAAAACGCCGACGCCACCUACCAACACAUGAUUCAAACAUGCCUGGAGAAACAAAUCGGCAAGACAGUUGAAGCAUAUGUGGAUGACGUAGUCAUCAAGACUAGGCACGUCGAGUCAUUAAUAGACGACCUAUGUCUCACAUUCGACAACCUCCGCACAUAUGACAUCAAGCUCAAUCCGGAAAAGUGUGUUUUCGGCGUUCCCGCUAAAAACUGCUGGGCUUCAUUGUUUCCAAUAGAGGAAUUGAGGCAAAUCCAGCCAAAAUCCGGGCUUUGUCACAAUUGGCUAUACCAACAGAUCUUAAACAGGUCCAAAAACUACCCGGAUGCGUGGCAGCUUCAAGCCGCUUUAUCUCUAGACUAGGAGAAAAAGCAUUGCCACUUUAUCGCCUUCUCCAACGCACCGACCACUUUGAGUGGACGGAUGCGGCAACGGCCGGACUGGAACAAAUAAAAGCUCUUUUAGUGAGCAACCCAAUCCUGGCCACGCUGAACGUCGGCGAACUCCUGUUAUUAUACAUCUCGACAACACACCAGGUGGUGAGCGCAGUACUCGUCGUUGAACAAGAGGAGGACGGACACAAAUUCCCACUCGAGAAGCCGGUAUACUACGUAUCCACUAUCCUCACACCAUGCAAAUCCCGGUACCCCCAUUACCAAAAGAUAGCAUAUGCGGUCUUCAUGGCAUCCCGGAAGCUACGCCACUACUUCCAAGAGUGCUCUAUUACGGUGGCUUCCGAAGUACCACUCAAUGACAUAAUAAACAACUGCGACGCUACGGGCCGGAUUGCUAAGUGGACCAUUGAGCCCCUUCCAUUCGACAUAACAUACAAACCGCUGUUGGAGAUCGUUGCAGAAAUUAAAAUUUUCUACGCAUCACCAAGAACAAUCUAUGGAGUCUUCUAGCAACGAGAGGGAAAAGAGUGCAUCUACAUACCCUUGUAGAUCGCGAGCGGAAGCGUUCAAGUGAACGGGGUUGAUGGAGUCGUACUCGUCGUGAUCCAAAUCACCGAAGACCGAGCGCCGAACGGACGGCACCUCCGCGUUCGACACACGUACGGUUGGGGAAGAUGUCUCCUCCUUCUUGAUCCAGCAAGGGGAGGGAGAGGUUGAUGGAGAUCCAGCAGCACGACGGCGUGGUGGUGGAAGCAGCGGGGAUCUCGGCAGGGCUUCGCCAAGCUCAGCGAGAGGGAGAGGUGUCACGGGAGGGAGAGGGAGGCGCCAGGGGCUUGGGUGCGGCUGCCCUCCCUCCCCCCUCUUUAUAUAGGGCCCCUGGGGGGGGGGGCGCCGGCCCUAGGAGAUCCAAUCUCCAAGGGGGGGCGGCGGCCAAGGGGGUGGCUUGCCCCCCAAGCCAAGUGGGGCGCCCCCCACCCCUAGGGUUUCCAACCCUAGGCGCAGGGGGAGGCCCAAGGGGGGCGCACCAGCCCAACAGGGGCUGGUUCCCAUCCCACUUCAGCCCAUGGGGCCCUCCGGGAUAGGUGGCCCCACCCGGUGGACCCCCCGGGACCCUUCCGGUGGUCCCGGUAUAAUACCAGUGACCCCCGAAACUUUCCCGGUGGCCGAAACUGGACUUCCUAUAUACAAUUCUUCACCUCCGGACCAUUCCGGAACUCCUCGUGACGUCCGGGAUCUCAUCCGGGACUCCGAACAACUUUCGGAUUUCCGCAUACUAAUAUCUCUAUAACCCUAGCGUCAUCGAACCUUAAGUGUGUAGACCCUACGGGUUCGGGAGACAUGCAGACAUGACCGAGACGACUCUCCGGUCAAUAACCAACAGCGGGAUCUGGAUACCCAUGUUGGCUCCCACAUGUUCCACGAUGAUCUCAUCGGAUGAACCACGAUGUCGAGGAUUCAAUCAAUCCCGUAUACAAUUCCCUUUGUCAAUCGGUACGUUACUUGCCCGAGAUUCGAUCGUCGGUAUCCCAAUACCUUGUUCAAUCUCGUUACCGGCAAGUCACUUUACUCGUACCGUAAUGCUUGAUCCCGUGACCAAACACUUGGUCACAUUGAGCUCAUUAUGAUGAUGCAUUACCGAGUGGGCCCAGAGAUACCUCUCCGUCAUACGGAGUGACAAAUCCCAGUCUCGAUUCGUGCCAACCCAACAGACACUUUCGGAGAUACCCGUAGUGCACCUUUAUAGCCACCCAGUUACGUUGUGACGUUUGGCACACCCAAAGAACUCCUAUGGUAUUCGGGAGUUGCACAAUCUCAUGGUCUAAGGAAAUGAUACUUGACAUUUGGAAAAGCUCUAGCAAACGAACUACACGAUCUUGUGCUAUGCUUAGGAUUGGGUCUUGUCCAUCACAUCAUUCUCCUAAUGAUGUGAUCCCGUUAUAAAUGACAUCCAAUGUCCAUAGUCAGGAAACCAUGACUAUCUGUUGACCAACGAGCUAGUCAACUAGAGGCUCACUAGGGACAUGUUGUGGUCUAUGUAUUCACACAUGUAUUACGAUUUCCGGAUAACACAAUUAUAGCAUGAACAAUAGACAAUUAUCAUGAACAAGGAAAUAUAAUAAUAACCAUUUUAUUAUUGCCUCUAGGGCAUAUUUCCAACAACCGCACUGAGCCAUUAAAUCCCAAGUAUUGGCCAACUUCGUUGCCGAAUGGACAGAGGCCGAACUUCCUAAAGAGUACGACACAUAUUCCAACUGGGUCAUGCACUUCGACGGCUCGAAAAUGCUGGCCGGCUUAGGAGCAGGCGUUAUCUUAACGUCCCCCACUGGAGACACAGUCCAGUACGUACUCCAAAUAUUAUACACAGACUCCAACAAUGCAGCCGAAUACGAGGCCUUAUUGCACGGUCUUUGGAUGGCUGCCUCCAUGGGCAUACAACACCUGGAGGUGCGCGGGGUUUCAAACCUCACAAUAUCCCAAAUAAAUGGAGACUUCGACGCCAAAGAUCCGAAGAUGGCGGCCUAUCGUAAUGCCAUACUUAAAACUUCAGCUCGGUUCGAGGGACUUGAGUUUCAUCAUGUGGCUCGAGAAAGUAAUCAGGCGGCAGAUGUCCUUGCUCGCAUUGGCGCCAAGCGUGACCCCGUCCCACCUAACAUCUUUCUGGAAAGGCUCUUCAAGCCAUCCAUGGUGUGGCAAGGGGAGAGCGGCAACACCGGUCCGGAUCCGAUUAUACCCCCAGAUUCCGAACACAAUGCCGAUAUCAUCGGGGGCUCAGCCACCGAAAUAACACCAUCGUCCCAUCUUAUAAUGGCAGUAAUUGCCCCAUGGACCGAACCCUUCUUGGCCUACCUUAAUAGGCGUGAGCUCCCUGAGGAUCAGAAUGAGGCUCGCUGCAUUGUCCGGUGCUCGAAAGCCUACAAGGUCCAUGAAGGAGAGCUCUACAAGAAAAGCGCUACUGGAGUCCUUCAAAGAUGCAUCUCCGAAGAAGAGGGGCGGCAGCUCCUGGCUGAAAUCCAUGCUGGUCUCGACGGUCACCAUGCCGCGGCUCGGGCACUUGUAAGCAAAGCCUUCCGUACAGGCUUCUUUUGGCCGACGGCCCGAGCAAAUGCACAGGACCUUGUCCAAUGCUGUGUCGGAUGCCAGCUUUUCGCCAAUCAAAGCCAUAUGCCGCCCACCGCUCUACAAACAAUCCCCAUUACUUGGCCUUUUGCGGUCUGGGGGCUCGAUAUGGUCGGAUCCCUUAAAGGGGGAAGCCAUAAGAAAAAGUAUCUGCUGGUCAUGAUAGAUAAAUUCACCGAGUGGAUAGAGGCCAAACCAGUUAAAACGACGGAAGCCGGACCAAUGAUCGAUUUUAUAUCCGGUGUCGUGCACCGUUAUGGUGUCCCACAUAGUAUCAUCACCGAUAACGGCUUGAAUUUUACAGCCGAUGAAGUAAAAACCUGGUGUGCUAACCUGGGCAUUAAACUCGAUUACGCCUCCGUCUAGCACCCACAAACAAACGGUCAAGUCGAACGAGCUAAUGGUCUUAUUAUGAGCGGCAUUAAUCCUAGACUAGUGCGGUCUUUGAAAGAAUCAGACAAGCACUGGGUUGAGGAGCUCGACUCUGUACUCUGGGGGCUGCGGACCACGCCCAAUCGCACUAUCGGAUACACACCUUUCUUCAUGGUGUACGGCGCAGAGGUCGUGUUGCCCUGCGACAUUAUUCAUGACUCAUCUCGAGUGCGCAUGUAUGAAGAAAGAGAGGUCGAGCUUGAUCGGCAGGACAACUUAGAUGCCCUGGAGGAGGAGCUCGACGUUGCAAAAGCCCGUUCUGCAUUUUAUCAACAACAGGCUCGCAGAUAUCAAAGCAGAGAAGUGCGGGCCAAGACUUAUAAUGUUGGUGAACUCGUUCUGCGCUUGCCAGAAAAGAAAAAGGACAAACUCAAGCCCAAGUGGGAGGGUCCCUUCAUCAUAGAUGAAGUUCUCACUGGAGGAGUGUACCGCCUGCGCGAUGCAUCGGACAAUCGCCUAGAGCCGAACCCGUGGAACACCGCCAGACUCCGAAGAUUCUACGCCUAGAGCCGGACUCUUUGUUCGUUUUCUUCUCCCUUUGUCUCCAUUUUCUCCUCUCUUCAAUUUUUUAUAUAGCUUUAAGCUCUUGUGCGGCUAAAUCGCGCACCUAUGACGUACACAUCCUUAAAUAUGUACGCCCAUAAUACCUGGGGGCUUCUUGUACAAAAGCUUAUUAUUAUUUACCGAGCAUCAAGCUCACCACAUACGUGUCUUUCCUCAUAUGUACCUUUUCUUCACCAUUAUAUGCAUCGAUAUGACUUAAGUUUUGGCCAAGCCGGGUUGCCUGGCUCUUGUGCCUAUGCCCUACGUUCCCGUUGUUCGGCUAGGGCAUAAAGGGAGCACCUCUGCGAUUGUUACAGCCGGGUCAUCCGGACAUGCACCUCAGACUGGGUGAAGCCGAAAGCUAGCGUUCUUAAGGGAAUAUUCGGUCGGCGGACUAAAGACGUUUUACACUCAUUACACUAUGAACCCCCAGAUGUUACAUAUACUGCGAUUUUUCAAUCACAGUUCGGGCAUGCAAACUAACGCAUGUUCACCCAGGGAAAGGAACCUUUGACGGAACUAUUCUCCCUGGAAGAUGUUUCUUACAAUCACAAUGUAAUAUAACAUAGCUAGCUGGAUACAACUUGUCUGUUCAAGCAACUAUGACCCCUACGCCUGGUUUCCAUGCAUACCCCGGUCUAUAUUGCCGCACUGGUAUUCGGAAACACUCCGCACCUUCGGGUCCAGAGGUCGAAGCGAAAAGGUCUGCCAUGACAAUCGUUUUACAAUCCGGCUAGGGAUAAAUUUGUCCAUUGAAGUACAUAGUCACUUGGACUCAAAAACUUCUUCCUCUAUGCCAUCUAACAGGCUAUCUAGCUUACAAUCCUGUUGGGAAUACUUGGCGGCUAUCUUUACUUGGUCAUAUACCAAACUAACUGGAAUUUCUUUUCCAUCUGACCGUCGAGGUCCGACCCGGGCCAUAUGAUUCGGAUCAAGCUUGGUGUACCGUGUUUUUACCAUGGCCCAGGCCUCUCGCGCACCUUCUCGGCAGGCCGAUAUCUUCCAUAAUCGGAAGCGCCGCCGAGCUCCCUGGAAUAGCUUCACAAGCUCCUCCAUACUUCCUGGAGGACAGGCGGAUGGCCACAAAGCUUCGACAUCCGCAUUGCUUGCCGAGCUCGCUCGUGCAGUUGGGACAGCUCUUGCCGCAGGUCACCUUGAGAGACUGACAUUUCCUCUUCGGGACGACCAGUCAGCAUACCUACAGACAUAAAUCUGUUAGAUUAUUUCUUCGCUGAAUUACAUGAAGGUAAGUUCAAAAGCAUAUUGAAUAUGCCGCCUCAUAGCCUCCUAUUCUCCUUGAAGGCGUCAGCUAGCUGGGCUCGCACAUCUUCUAGUUCUUCGCCCAGCAGGGUGUUGGAAUCCUGCAGCUUGUUCUUUUCAUCCCUGACCCGUGUCAGCACACGUUCGCCUGCGGCCAGUUGCCUUUUGGCCUCUUGUUCACCCGCCUGCGCGACUUUCAGUUCCCCUUUCAGUUGAUCUGCUGAUCCUGUCAUCGAAAACGCAAUAGUAUUAAUAUUGCUGGUAUAUGAUUAUAUUUUUGUCGAUGGAGGGGAACAUUACCAGGCGAUGCCUCCUUGGAUUUCUCUAGUUCGGCGGUAGCAGCAGCUAGCUGGGUCCGACACUGUUCCAGCUCUUGAGACAACAGGUUGUUCUUCUCCGUGAGCAUGUGGUUAUACAAUGAUCCUUAAAUCAGUUGUCUCAACUGCUUCAAGUCUCGGGGGCUACCGGUAUAUGAUUAUCAUAUCUGUACAAUGCGUACUUACCCGCAUAUCUUUCAAAUGCUGGUCUGUGGCUCUGGUAAGCCCAUCUCGAGCAGCUCGGAUGUAUGCAUCAGCCGAGCUGAAGGCAUUAAAUGCCUCUUUUGUAAAGCCAGGAUCGCGAAGAGCGGCCCUCCGGCGCCGAUGAUUCAUGGCGCUCUCCACUUCAGAGUUCGUGACGGAUACAUCAUCCGAAUCCUCUGUAGGAGGAUAGUCCGGCGUCACUCAUGUAUCAGCCCCCGUCUGUAAGGCGGGGUCCGGAACCUGGUUGGUGGAGGCACGACCGGCAAGAUCCCAGGACAUAGUCCGGCGAACGCCCUUCCUGACAAGACACAACGGAUAAUGUCACAGUUCGAUGUGACUGCCAAGGGGCGUAUUUAAAAAGCCAUACCUCUUUGAUGAAGGCUCAGCUGUGUUUUCAUUUGCCUUCCUCUUCAAAGGCUUGCCCGGCGCGGGCACCGCUCUCUUGUGAGUCACCUUUGGUGUAGCAUGGCGCGCCGAGCGCCUUCCCUUUGGAGCACGAGAUAGUGCGGUGGGUGAGGCAGAAUGUGGAAACUCUUUCGGAGGAGAUGUCUCCUGAUUACUUACAUGUGAGGCAGGAAGGAGGCCAGGAUAGUCGGCCAUGAUGGCCACUUCUGUGCCAUCAUAGCUCGCCUGGUAGAAGACUCCCUCUUUGAGUUCUACAAAUAUGUCCGGAUCUUCUUCCAAUCCUGGAUCGAGAUCUCGGUUCUGGUUCUCCGGCUGUGGAGCGGGGCUAUGGAUCCCCGCGGUAACCCUCCGCCAUUCCUAUUAACGGACGGGUCAAUGUCAGUUUAACAUGACUCGGGGAGAGGAUUGAAUAAAGUGGUGGAAUUAAAACUCACCCAGCUAGGAGGAUUGUACAUGGAAAAUCCCUCUCGGCGCGUAUGACGAGUGAAUUCCUCUUUCUCCCCUUUAUACAGAUCGGCCAGUAUGGUGGCCAGGGAGGUGAGGGAAUCCGGACCCUUUCAUCCGCAGCGUGAGGCGUCAUCUUCCGCAUUGUAGUGCCACAUGGGGAUCCCCCUGAAUUGGAGCGGCUGAACACCUCGCGCUAUGGAAGUUUCCAUCACCUCGGUCCUAAUCUUGCCCAUCAAUUGCCGGACUUCUGCGCUGUCUUCCUCCUCGAGGUCCGAGGACGCCAGCUGUGGCGUUUCUCCAGCGGAGCGAUGGAAAAUUCGGGGAGGCCCAUUCAGACUGGGUCGGGGAGAGCGACGUCUUCAAUGUAAAACCACUCUGAGGGCCAGUCUUCGGACGCCUUCUUCGGCAUGCCGGACAAGUAUCCGGUCCCGGCUAUGCGCCAUAUCUCGGCGCCACCCACCUCGAAUACGGAUCCCUUUUGGGUACGAGGGAUGAGGCAGAAAAGUUUCCUCCAUAGCUCAAAGUGGGCCUUGCAGCCCAGAAAUAGCUCACAAAGAGCAACAAACCCCGCGAUAUGCAGGAUGGAGGCUGGAGUAAGGUUGUGCAGUUGGAGGCCGUAGUACUCCAGAAGACCUCAGAGGAAAGGGUGGAUUGGAAACCCGACGCCUCUUAUUAAGAAGGAUAUGAAGCACACUCGCUCCCCCCUAGUUGGAUUGGGGAAAUUUUCCACCAGAGCUUCACCUGUAAAAGUGGUUAAUCCAGCCCNNNNNNNNNNNNNNNNNNNNNNNNNNNNNNNNNNNNNNNNNNNNNNNNNNNNNNNNNNNNNNNNNNNNNNNNNNNNNNNNNNNNNNNNNNNNNNNNNNNNNNNNNNNNNNNNNNNNNNNNNNNNNNNNNNNNNNNNNNNNNNNNNNNNNNNNNNNNNNNNNNNNNNNNNNNNNNNNNNNNNNNNNNNNNNNNNNNNNNNNNNNNNNNNNNNNNNNNNNNNNNNNNNNNNNNNNNNNNNNNNNNNNNNNNNNNNNNNNNNNNNNNNNNNNNNNNNNNNNNNNNNNNNNNNNNNNNNNNNNNNNNNNNNNNNNNNNNNNNNNNNNNNNNNNNNNNNNNNNNNNNNNNNNNNNNNNNNNNNNNNNNNNNNNNNNNNNNNNNNNNNNCCUGCGUUUGACCUGCGUUUGAAGCUUACUCAGCUGGUCGUGGGAUACUGAACACUUCUCCCAAUCGCCUUUUUUGGAGCCAUGAGGGCGGGAGGAAGAACUGGGAACGCUAUCCAUGCUGGAAUGGUUUCUCCUAGCAAGCUCUAAGGAUUUUCCGCCUGGUGUGAGAUGGCAUCUGAGAUCCAAUCUACUUAAAUAUACGCCUUUCUUACAUGGCCAAGGUGUUAUGCGCAAAAAUACUCUGACCUUUCGUGUUCGCUCGACACGUGGAAGCCGAAGUAAUGGAGGCGCAGAAGCCAAGGGGUACAACAUUAAAUGGAAAGCCGAGUGUAACUCUUCGGAUCAGACGUUUUGAAGUGUUCGGAGGAGGAACCCGCCUUGCAAUGCCGAAGACAAUCUGCGCGCCGGACACAUCGUCAUUUGCUACCUCUUGAGCAUGCGUUGGUUUUCCCUUGAAGAGGAAAGGGUGAUGCAGCAAAGUAGCGUAAGUAUACCUGCACAACAAAUUAAGAACCUUGCAACCAACGCGGUAAAGGGGUUGUCAAUCCCUUCACGGCCACUUGCAAAAGUGAGAUCUGAUAGAGAUAAUAAGAUAAAUAUUUUUGGUGUAGAUUGAAAAGUAAAGAUUGCAAAAUAAAAUAGAUCGGAAACUUAUAUGAUGGAAAAUAGACCCGGGGGCCAUAGGUUUCACUAGUGGCUUCUCUCAAGAUAGCAAAUUCUACGGUGGGUGAACAAAUUACUGUCGAGCAAUUGAUAGAAAAGCGCAUAGUUAUGAGAAUAUCUAGGCAUGAUCAUGUAUAUAGGCAUCACGUCCGUGACAAGUAGACCGAAACGAUUCUGCAUCUACUACUAUUACUCCACACAUCGACCGCUAUCCAGCAUGCAUCUGGAGUAUUAAGUUCAUAAGAACAGAGUAACGCAUUAAGCAAGAUGACAUGAUGUAGAGGGAUAAACUCAAGCAAUAUGAUAUAAACCCCAUCUUUUUAUCCUCGAUGGCAACAAUACAAUACGUGCCUUGCUGCCCCUGCCGUCACUGGGAAAGGACACCGCAAGAUUGAACCCAAAGCUAAGCACUUCUCCCAUUGCAAGAAAGAUCUAGUAGGCCAAACCAAACUGAUAAUUCGAAGAGACUUGCAAAGAUAUCAAAUCAUACAUAUAAGAAUUCAGAGAAUAAUCAAAUAUUGUUCAUAGAUAAUCUUGAUCAUAAACCCACAAUUCAUCGGAUCUCGACAAACACACCACAAAAAGUAUUACAUCGAAUAGAUCUCCAAGAGAAUCGAGGAGAACUUUGUAUUGAGAUCCAAAGAGAGAGAAGAAGCCAUCUAGCUAAUAACUAUGGACCCGAAGGUCUGUGGUAAACUACUCACACAUCACCGGAGAGGCUAUGGUGUUGAUGUAGAAGCCCUCCGUGAUCGAUUCCCCCUCCGGCGGUGCACCGGAAAAGGCCCCAAGAUGGGAUCUCACGGGUACAGAAGGUUGCGGCGGUGGAAAUAGGGUUUCGUGGUGCUCUUGGAUGUUUUCAGGGUAUAAGAGUAUAUAUAGGCGAAGGAAGUAGGUCGAUGGAUCACGAGGAUGGGGGGCGCGCCUACCCCCUGGGCGCGCCUCCCUAUCUCGUGGACGCCUUGUUGCUUCCUUGACGUCCACUCCAAGUCUCCUGGACUGCGUUUGUUCCAAAAACGAUCCUCGCGAAGGUUUCAUUCUGUUUGGACUCCGUUUGAUAUUCCUUUUCUUCGAAACACUGAAAUAGGCAAAAAAUAGCAAUUUGCACUGGGCCUCUAGUUAGUAGGUUAGUCCCAAAAAUAAUAUAAAAGUGCAUAAUAAAGCCCAUUAAUCAUCCAAAACAGAUAAUAUAAUAGCAUGGAACAAUCAAAAAUUAUAGAUACGUUGGAGAUGUAUCAAGCAUCCCCAAGCUUAAUUCCUGCUCGUCCUCGAGUAGGUAAAUGAUAAAAACAGAAUUUUUUAUGUGGAAUGUUACCUAGCAUAAUUUUCAAUGUAAUUUUCUUUAUUGUGGCAUGAAUGUUCAGAUCCGAAAGAUUCAAGACAAAAGUUUAAUAUUGACAUAAAAACAAUAAUACUUCAAGCAUACUAAUAAAGCAAUCAUGUCUUCUCAAAAUAACAUGGCCAAAGAAAAUUAUCCCUACAAAAUCAUAUAGCAGUCUGGCUAUGCUCUAUCUUCAUCACACAAAAUAUUUAAAUCGUGCACAACCCCGAUGACAAGCCAAUCAAUAGUUUCAUACUUUUGAUGUUCUCAAACUUCUUCAAUCUUCACGCAAUACAUGAGCGUGAGCCAUGGACAUAGCACUAUAUGUGGAAUAGAAUGGUGGUUGUGGAGAAGACAAAAUAAAGAAGAAGAUAGUCUCACAUCAACUAGGCGUAUCAAUGGGCUAUGGAGAUGCCCAUCAAUAGAUAUCAAUGUGAGUGAGUAGGGAUUGCCAUGCAACAGAUGCACUAGAGCUAUAAGUGUAUGAAAGCUCAACAAAAGAAACUAAGUGGGUGUGCAUCCAACUCGCUUGCUCACGAAGACCUAGGGCAUUUUGAGGAAGCCCAUCAUUGCAAUAUACAACCAAGUUCUAUAAUGUAAAAUUCCCACUAGUAUAUGAAAGUGACAACAUAGGAGACUCUCUAUCAUGAAGAUCAUGGUGCUACUUUGAAGCACAAGUGUGGUAAAGGGAUAGUAACAUUGUCCCUUCUCUCUUUUUCUCUCUUUUUUUCUUUUUUUUUGUUUUUUGGGCCUUUCUCUUUUUUUAUGGCCUCUUUUCUUUUUUUAGUCCGGAGUCUCAUCCCGACUUGUGGGGGAAUCAUAGUCUCCAUCAUCCUUUCCUCACUUGGGACAAUGCUCUAAUAAUGAUGAUCAUCACACUUUUAUUUACUUACAACUCAUGACUCUAUGUGAAUGCCUCCGACGGUGUACCGGGAUAUGCAAUGAAUCAAGAGUGACAUGUAUGAAAAUCAUGAAUGGUGGCUUUGCGACAAAUACGAUGUCAACUACAUGAUCAUGCAAAGCAAUAUGACAAUGAUGAAGCGUGUCAUAAUAAACAGAACGGUGGAAAGUUGCAUGGCAAUAUAUCUCAGAAUGGCUAUGGAAAUGCCAUAAUAGGUAGGUAUGGUGGCUGUUUUGAGGAAGGUAUAUGGUGGGUGUAUGAUACCGGCGAAAGGUGCGCGGUAUUAGAGAGGCUAGCAAUGGUGGAAGGGUGAGAGUGCGUAUAAUCCAUGGACUCAACAUUAGUCAUAAACAAAUCACAUACUUAUUGCAAAAAUCUAUUAGUUAUCCAAACGAAGUAUGACGCGCAUGCUCCUAGGGGGAUAGAUUGGUAGGAAAAGACCAUCGCUCGUCCCCGAUCGCCACUCAUAAGGAAGACAAUCAAUAAAUAAAUCAUGCUCCGACUUCAUCACAUAACGGUUCACCAUACGUGCAUGCUACGGGAAUCACAAACUUUAGCACAAGUAUUUCUCAAAUUCACAACUACUCAACUAGCAUGACUCUAAUAUCACCAUCUUCAUAUCUCAAAACAAUCAUAAAGAAUCAAACUUCUCAUAGUAUUCAAUGCACUUUAUAUGAUAGAUUUUAUUAUACCUGUCUUGGAUGCUCAUCACUUUAGGACUAAAAUUUUAACCAAAGAAAAUUACCAUGCUGUUCUAAAAGACUCUCAAAAUAAUAUAAGUGAAGCAUGAGAGAUCAAUAAUUUCUAUAAAAUAAACCACCACCGUGCUCUAAAAAGAUAUAAGCGAAGCAUAAUAGCAAAAUUAUCUAGCUCAAAAGAUAUAAGUGAAGCACAUAGAGUAUUCUAAUAAAUUCUGAUUCAUGUGUGUCUCUCCAAAGGUGUGUACAGCAAGGAUGACUGUGGCAAACUAAAAAGCAAAGACUCAAAUCAUACAAGACGCUCCAAGCAAAACACACAUCAUGUGGUGAAUAAAAAUAUAGCAUCAAGUAAAGUUACCGAUAAACGAAGACGAAAGAGGGGAUGCCUUCCGGGGCAUCCCCAAGCUAAGGCUUUUGGUUGUCUUUGAAUUUUACCUUGGGGUGCCUUGGGCAUCCCCAUGUUUAGGCUCUUGCCACUCGUUGUUCCAAAAUCCAUCAAAUCUUUACCCAAAAACUUGAAAACUUCACAACACAAAACUCAACAAAAAAUCUCAUGAGCUCCGUGUGCGAAAUAAAACAAACCACCACUUUAAGGUACUGUAAUGAACUCAUUAUUUAUUUAUAUUGGUGUUAAACCUACUGUAUUCCAACUUCUAUAUGGUUCAUACCCCCCGAUACUAGCCAUAGAUUCAUCAAAAUAAGCAAACAACACACGAAAAACAGAAACUGUCAAAAACAGAACAGUCUGUAGUAAUCUGUAUCAAACGAAAACUUCUGUAAGUCAGAAAAAUCUACCAAAAUAGGACGACCUAAAUAAUUUUAUUAUUGAUCUACUGCAAUUGGAAUCAGUAUUUUCUCGCUUUCUGGUGAUUUUUAACAAUUGUUUUCGUGAGCAGAAAGUUUCUGCCUUUUUCAGCAAGAUCAAAUAAUUAUCAUCAAAGAAGAUCAUAUAGGUUUUAGUUGGCACAAACACUAAUUAAAACAUAAAACCACAUCUAACCAGAGGCUAGAUGAAUUAUUUAUUACUAAACAGGAACAAAAAACAAGGAAUAAAAAAUAAAAUUGGGUUGCCUCCCAACAAGCGCUAUCGUUUAACGCCCCUAGCUAGACAAAGAGAUUUCAAUGAUGCUCACAUGAAAGACAAGAAUUGAAGCACAAAGAGAGCAUCAUAAAACAUGUGACAAACACAUCUAAGUCUAACAUACUUCCUAUGCAUAGGCAUCUUAUAAGCAAACAAAUUAUCAAGGCAAGCAAAAACUAGCAUAUGCAAGGAAGCGGAAAGAAACAAUAGCAAUCUCAACAUAACGAGAGGUAAUUUAGUAACAUGAAAAUUUCUACAACCAUAUUUUCCUCUCUCAUAAUAAUUACAUGUAGGAUCAUAAGAAAAUUCAACAAUAUAGCUAUCACAAAACAUAUUCUUAACACGAUCCACAUGUAUGCAAAGUUGACAUUCUUCCAAAAUAGUGGGAUUAACAUUAACUAAAGUCAUGACCUCUCCAAACCCACUUUUAUCAAAAACUUCAUAAGAUUGAACAUUCUCCAAAUAUGUGGGAUCUAAAGGUGACACUCUUCCAAACCCACUUUCAAUAUUAUUGCAACCAUUAUUAUCAAUCUCAUAUUCAUCAUGGGGCUUAAAUAAAUUUUCGAAAUCAUAAGAAACAUUAUCACCCCAAUCAUGAUCAUUGCAACAAGUAGUAGAGAAAGCAAAACUAGCAUCCCCAAGCUUAGGGUUUUACAUAUUAUUAGCACAAUUGACAUCAAGAGAAUUUAUAGUAAAAUCAUUGCAAUCAUGCUUUUUAUUCAAGGAGCUAUCGUGAAUCUCUUCAUAAAUUUAUUCAUCACAAUUUUCAGAUUCACGAAUUUCAAGCAAAACCUCAUAAAGAUAAUCUAGUGCACUCAAAUCACUAGAAAUUGGUUAAUCAUAAUUGGAUCUCUUAAAAAGAUUAGCGAGGGGAUGAGGAUCCAUAAACUUUUAGCAAGCGAAGAUGCAAGCAAAAGGAAGGCACAUGGUAACACAAGAUCGAACAGAAGGAGGGCGAAUAAAACUUCAAGGGUGAAGUGGGGGAGAGGAAAAUGAGAGGCAAAUGGCAAAUAAUGUAAUGCGAGGGAUAAGAGUUUGUGAUGGGUACUUGGUAUGUCUUGACUUUUGAAUAGAUCUCCCCGGCAACGGCCCCAGAAAUCCUUCUUGCUACCUCUUGAGCAUGCGUUGGUUUUCCCUUGAAGAGGAAAGGGUGAUGCAGCAAAGUAGCGUAAGUAUUUCCCUCAGUUUUUGAGAACCAAGGUAUCAAUCCAGCAGGAGACUACACGCAAAUCCCUCGUACCUGCACAAACAAUUAAGAACCUUGCAACCAACGCGAUAAAGGGGUUGUCAAUCCCUACACGUCCACUUGCAAAAGUGAGAUCUGAUAGAGAUAAUAAGAUAAAUAUUUUUGGUGUAGAUUGAAAAGUAAAGAUUGCAAAAUAAAAUAGAUCGGAAACUUAUAUGAUGGAAAAUAGACCCAGGGGCCAUAGGUUUCACUAGUGGCUUCUCUCAAGAUAGCAAAUUCUACGGUGGGUGAACAAAUUACUGUCGAGCAAUUGAUAGAAAAGCGCAUAGUUAUGAGAAUAUCUAGGCAUGAUCAUGUAUAUAGGCAUCACGUCCAUGACAAGUAGACCGAAACGAUUCUGCAUCUACUACUAUUACUCCACACAUCGACCGCUAUCCAGCAUGCAUCUAGAGUAUUAAGUUCAUAGGAACAGAGUAACGCAUUAAGCAAGAUGACAUGAUGUAGAGGGAUAAACUCAAGCAAUAUGAUAUAAACCCCAUCUUUUUAUCCUCGAUGGCAACAAUACAAUACAAUACGUGCCUUGCUGCCCCUGCUGUCACUGGGAAAGGACACCGCAAGAUUGAACCCAAAGCUAAGCACUUCUCCCAUUGCAAGAAAGAUCAAUCUAGUAGGCCAAACCAAACUGAUAAUUCGAAGAGACUUGCAAAGAUAUCAAAUCAUACAUAUAAGAAUUCAGAGAAUAAUCAAAUAUUGUUCAUAGAUAAUCUUGAUCAUAAACCCACAAUUCAUCGGAUCUCGACAAACACACCGCAAAAAGUAUUACAUCGAAUAGAUCUCCAAGAGAAUUGUGGAGAACUUUGUAUUGAGAUCCAAAGAGAGAGAAGAAGCCAUCUAGCUAAUAACUAUGGACCCGAAGGUUUGUGGUAAACUACUCACACAUCACCGGAGAGGCUAUGGUGUUAAUGUAGAAGCCCUCCGUGAUCGAUUCCACCUCCGGCGGAGCGCCGGAAAAGGCCCCAAGAUGGGAUCUCACGGGUACAGAAGGUUGCGGCGGUGGAAAUAGGGUUUCGUGGUGCUCUUGGAUGUUUUCAGGGUAUAAGAGUAUAUAUAUAGGCGAAGGAAGUAGGUCGGCGGAGCCACGAGGGGCCCACGAGGGUGGGGGUGCGUCUACCCCCUGGGCGCGCCUCCCUAUCUCGUGGACGCCUCGUUGCUUCCUUGACGUCCACUCAAAGUCUCCUAGAUUGCGUUUGUUCCAAAAAUGAUCCUCGCAAAGGUUUCAUUCCGUUUGGACUCCGUUUGAUAUUCCUUUUCUGCGAAACACUGAAAUAGGCAAAAAAACAGUAAUUUGCAUUGGGCCUCCGGUUAGUAGGUUUGUCGCAAAAAAUAAUAUAAAAGUGCAUAAUAAAGCCCAUUAAACAUCCAAAACAGAUAAUAUAAUAGCAUCGAACAAUCAAAAAUUAUAGAUACGUUGGAGACGUAUCAUCAUUGAAGCCUGGUUCGGGGGCUAGUGAGAGAGUCCUGGAUUAAGGGGUCCUCGGGCGUCCGGCCUAUGUGACGUGGGCCGAACUGAUGGGCCAUGAAGGUACAAGAUAGAAGACUUCCUCCCUUGUCCGGAUGGUACUCUCCUUUGCGUGGAUGGCAAGCUUGGCGUUCGGAUAUGUGGAUUCCUUCCUAUAUAAACCGACUUUGUACAACCCUAGUCCCCUCCGGUGUCUAUAUAAACCGGAGGGUUUAGUCCGUAGAGGCAAUCACAAUCAUACAUGCUAGACAUCUAGGGUUUAGCCAUUAUGAUCUCGUGGUAGAUCAACUCUUGUAAUCCUCAUAUUCAUCAAGAUCAAUCAAGCAGGAAGUAGGGUAUUACCUCCAUCAAGAGGGCCCGAACCUGGGUAAACAUUGUGUCCCCCGUCUCCUGUUACCAUCGACCUUGGACGCACAGUUCGGGACCCCCUACCCGAGAUCCGCCGGUUUUGACACCGGCAACCGCCCGCAAAGCUUCCUUCUCCGGGAUAGUCGGGACACGACCUUCUGACAAAGCACGGGCACUGCUAAGACGUGUACUCUACCUGGAACGACGGAGGGGACAGACACCGGGUGGGGCAUGGACUAACCAACUGGUUACUGUGUUUACCUUUUUUUAAUAAACCAUACAGUUUACUUAUAGAGUUUCACAAAACAAGUUUACUUACAGAGACAGGUAGGUCUUGUUUGGAAUAUUAGGGGUCUUGGACAACAUGGGAAGAUUCAGUGCCUGUGUGAUACUAUUGCUAAAUCUGAUCCUGACUUUAUUGGCUUUCAAGAAACUAAAAAAUAAAUUAUUUCUGAGGGUUUCCUCAAAGCUAUUGAUAGAUAUGACAAUUUUGUGUGGCAUUUCUUGCCAGCUGAUAAUACUGCUGGGGGGAUCCUUUUAGGAUUUAAGAAAAUGAUAUUUGAGGUGGUUGGUUCUAUUAACCAAAGAUUCUCUAUUGUUGCUACUGUUAAGAAUAAGUCUGAUAACUUUGUCUGGCAGAUGGUGUUAGUGUAUGGAUCUGCAUAUCCUGAAUUUAAAAUGGAUUUUGUGGCUGAAUUGCAUUAUACCUUAACCAAUGCUUCUUACCUUAUUACGAUUUGUGGAGACUUUAAUCUGGUUAGGAAUGAAACUGAAAAAAGUAGUGGUUUGAUUAAUCAACAGACUACCUUUUUAUUUAAUGAUUGGAUCAACAGAUGGGCCCUGAUGGAGAUUUCUAUCUCUAAUAGAGUGUUUACUUGGUCUAACAAUCAAAUUUCCCCUGUGUUUGCUGUUCUCGAUAGAGUGUUCAUUUCUGUGGACUGGGAUGCACAUUUUCCUUUCUCUACCUUGUCAGCACUUCCCAGGGUGGGGAGUGAUCAUACUCCUCUAGUCCUGGAUACUGGUGCUAGAGCCCCAUCCAAUCCCAAACCUUUUAGGUUUGAGAAAUGGUGGCUCUCCUGGCCAGGUUUCCAUCAAAUGGUCACAGAAGCCUGGAAUUCUGUGUCCUCAUCCAAAUCCUCAGCUGAUAACUGGAUGAUUAAGACUAUGGUCCUCAGAAAGAAGACUAAAGGGUGGAGUAUUGAUAAAGAGGCAGCUUUGGAAAACAAGAAAAAGGCACUCCUUCUGGAGUUUGACAUCCUUGAUAUCAUGUCUGAAACUCAGCAACUACGUGUUUCUGAUUAUGACAGAAUGAAGGAGAUUAAGAAAGAACUGGAUGAUGUGUGGAAGAAAGAGGAAACUGCUUUAUGGCAGAGAUCUAGGGACAGAAAGAUUUUAGAGGGAGAUAGGAAUAAUGCCUACUUCCAGGCCCUUGCUAACCACAGGCAUAGGAAAAAUUAUCUUACUAAACUAAAUAGUCCCAAUGGUGUGGUCACUUCGACCAAGGAGAUGCUUGAGGUGGCUACCUCUUUUUACAAAGAUUUGUUUCCUUUUGAACCUAAACCUGACAUCCAUUUGGAUGAUGACUUUUGGUCUAUUGAUGAAAUGGUUAGUAAUGAGGAGAGAGAACUACUAGAGAAACCUUUUUCUGAAGAGGAAAUUAAACAGGCUAUUAUGAGCUCCUAUGCUAGUGGUGCCCCUAGCCUGAUGGCCUGAUGGCCUGUCCUUUUUAUUUUAUCAAACCUUUUGGGAUCUGAUUAAAAAAGACUUUAUGUGGAGGGUUAGAGAUUUUGAGAAUGGUAACCUUGAUAUAUAUAAGCUGAACUAUGCCAUUAUUACUCUCAUUCCUAAAGUUCCUAUGGGUAGAGAUAUGAAAAACUAUAGGCCUAUCAGUCUUAGUAAUUGUGCUGUCAAAUUUUUUUCUAAAGCUAUGACUACUAGGGUUUCUCUCUUAUGCGACAAGCUUAUUUCUUCCAACCAGACUGCAUUUAUUAAGGGCGGAUUCAUUCUGGAAAGUGUGGUGAUGGCUCAUGAGGUCAUUCAUGAAGUUCAUAGGUCUGGGUCUGCUGGCUUGAUUCUUAAACUUGAUUAUGAGAAAGCAUAUGAUAGAGUUAGUUGGGAUUUUUUGAAGGAAAUGCUUCUUUCUAGAGGCUUCGGCAGUAAAUGGGUAGGGUGGGUUAUGUCUACUAUUUACCAAGGGACUUUUCAGGUUAGAAUUAAUGAUUCCAAUGGUCCCCAGUUUACUGGGGGAAAAGGCUUGAAGCAGGGUGACCCUCAUUCACCCCUGCUGUUUAAUUUGGUAGCUGAUGUUUUUUCUAAAAUGCUUUAUAAGGCUACUAGUAGAGGUUUAAUUUGUGGGUCGUUGCCUCAUGCCUUCCCUGGUGGGGUGGUCAGCUUACAGUAUGCUGAUGAUACCAUAUUAUUCCUUGAUAGCUCUCUAGAGUGUGCCAAGAACUUGAAAUGGAUCCUCUCCUGUUUGGAAAAUCUUUCUGAAUUGAAGAUUAAUUUUCAUAAAAGUGAUCUGCAUGCCAUUAGUAUAUCUGAGUAGCUAUAUAAAGAUUUUGCUCAGGUGUUCUGCUGCCAGCUUGGGGAUUCCCCCUUUAAAUAUUUAGGAGUCCCUCUUCAUUUCAAAAAGCUUAGAAGGGAGGAUCUUCAACCCAUCAUUGAUAGAAUUAUGAAGAACAUAUCUGGCUAGUUGGGGAGAUUUCUCUCCUAUAGGGGCAAAUUGAUCCUUCUUACUACUUGCAUUGCUAGCAUUCCUGCCUAUCUAAUGUCUACUAUUAAAUUUCCCAAAUGGGCUAUUGAUAUAAUCACUUCUCAAAUGUCUCACUUCUUUUGGGGUAAUGUGGGUGAUAAUCAUAAAUCUCACCUUGCUAAUUGGGGGUUGAUCUCCAGGAGGAAAGAGUUUGGUGGUAUGGGGGUGCCCAACCUUAGAGAUUUUAACAUGGCCCUUUUGGCUUCUUGGGGUAAGUGAUUUUAUGAUAAUAGGCAUAGUGAUUGGAAAAAGAUUCUGACUCACAAAUAUAACACUACUAGCCCUAAUUUUUUUAACACUAGGGUUAACCUGGGGUCUCCCAUUAUGAAAAGCUUAUCUUGGGCCCUUGCAGCUUCCAAAAAUUUCUAUAGAUGGGCCCCUGGGGAUGUCAAGAGUAUUGCCUUCUGGCAUGAUAUCUGGACUGGGGAUUGCUCUCUUAAAACUGCAUUUUGGGACCUGUAUGAUACUGUCAUCAGCAAGAAUCUACUCUUGCACAGGUCUGGGUGAGUGGUGAACUUCACCUUACUUUCAGGAGAUGUGUUGAAGAAAGGACUAUAGCUAGGUGGAAUGAACUCAGUAAGCUAGUUAAGCUAGUGACAUUAUCUGAUUCUCCAGAUCAACCUAUUUGGAUGCUGGAAUCUUCUAGCAAAUACUCUGUCAAAUCCUUUUAUAAGUUCAUCAACUUUGGGGGGGGGGGUCUACUGAGAUUAAAGAUGAUAUCUGGAAAAUCAAAGUUCCACCCAAUAUUCAUGUCUUUCUGUGGCUGAUCUACUAUAAUAAGAGCUUAACUAGAGAUAAUCUUGCCAAGCGCAGGCAUGUAGAUGAUAUGUCCUGUGUCUUCUGUAAUGAGCCUGAAACUAUCCAACAUCUUCUCUUUAAUUGCAUUGUUGCUAGGCAGGUUAGGGAUCUGGUAGCUGAUAGUUUUAAUGUUGUUACGCCCGGUUCUUUUGCUUUGCUAUCUUCCUUCUGGAAGAGGAGAAAACAUUUUGAAGCUUUGAACAUUGUUACUACUGCCUUGUGGAGCUUACGGCGUUUGCGAAAUGAUUUUGUUUUCUAGGGGCGAAGAUGGCGAAGUAUACGCUGUGUUUUGGAUCUGUUGGGUGCAACGAUCAGGCAAUGGAAAAUACUGUGUUCAGAGGCUCAGGGUGUGCUUCUUCUCCGGUGCUUAAGGCUGUUGGACCACCGAAGAGGGGAGUUGCUUAGGAUUGCGUGGCACUAAUGUAUCCUCGGAGCAUCGCUGGGUUGUGUCCUGCUAGUUUGCACAUCUUUGCUUUGUUCUAUUUGUGAGCUGGCAUGUUUGCCUACCUGGCUAUGUAUCAUGUCUAGAUCUGCCUAAAACUGUGUAAUAGGGCAGUUUAAACCUGACUUUCUUCUGUGGCAGCUACUCUCCGGUUGCCGCCGAGCGCUGUUAACAGUUUAUGUUGUGUGACUUUGCUUUGGCUUUAUAAAAAGUUGGGGCGGGGGGAAACCCCUUUUGGUUCAAAAAAAAAGUUUACUUACAGAGAAUAUAUAUACUUAUCAAAUGGCUAAAGAUUAGUACUGGACACUCUUCAUGUUAUCUUCAUUUUUAUUUACUUUUUAUCGAUGAGGGAGGGAGUAUGAUUUUUGCUGCAAUAACUAAAAUACGUCUAGAUACAUCCAUCUCUUCAGUCCAUCCAUCAUGUAAGACCGACGAUAUAUCUCUAGAUCUGUCCGGAGUUGAUCCAUACAUCAAUGGCUGCCGAAAUAACCAUGUCCGCGGCGGUCCUAGUAGUCCUAGUGGUAGCGACGCUGCUACUGUCGGGAGCGGCUUAUGAGAUCCGAAUGCCCAACUUCGACACCUCCUGCGGGGCCGUGGAGGUGCCUUACGCCCUUACCCGUUCGGCAUAGGCCCGGACGCGACCUGCUACCUCCCGGGUUUCAACCUCACCUGCGAGCACAGUCGCGACCCGCCGCGGCUACUCCUCGGUACCAGCACCGGCGCCGACGAAAUCCUAGUCCGCUACAUCAGCAUCGAUGACACGCCCUUCCUCAAGGUCUCCCACACCGUCGGAAGCUUGACCCGGCUACGACCUCGGCGCCCUUGUUGGGCGGCGCCCUGAGCUGGUCUGACGUAUCGUACAUCAUGCCCACGGGCCGGGGACCGGUGUUAGAAUACAACUUGUAAUAGGAUUAGGACUCCUACUCAGUUUGUAAUAGGGCUAGGUCAGGUGCAGCUUGGCUCUUAUAUAUACCUCUUGUACUGGCACAAUAUUGCAUAAACAAUUAUUCAAUACAAUUCUACAUGGUAUCAGACUUUCGAUCCUAGGGUAUGGCUAACCCGCCAGCCCCGCCACCGCCGCCGCCGCCCAGCUACUUCGAGCGGCGCGCCGCCAUCAUCGUGAAGGAAAUAUGCCCUAGAGGCAAUAAUAAAGUUAUUAUUUAUUUCCUUAUAUCAUGAUAAAUGUUUAUUAUUCAUGCUAGAAUUGUAUUAACUGGAAACGUGAUACAUGUGUGAAUACAUAGACAAACAGAGUGUCACUAGUAUGCCUCUACUUGACUAGCUCGUUGAUCAAAGAUGGUUAUGUUUCCUAGCCAUAGACAUGAGUUGUCAUUUGAUUAACGGGAUCACAUCAUUAGGAGAAUGAUGUGAUUGACUUGACCCAUUCCGUUAGCUUAGCACUCGAUCGUUUAGUAUGUUGCUAUUGCUUUCUUCAUGACUUAUACAUGUUCCUAUGACUAUGAGAUUAUGCAACUCCCGUUUACCGAAGGAACACUUUGUGUGCUACCAAACAUCACAACGUAACUGGGUGAUUAUAAAGGUGCUCUACAGGUGCUUCCAAAGGUACUUGUUGGGUUGGCGUAUUUCAAGAUUAGGAUUUGUCACUCCGAUUGUCGGAGAGGUAUCUCUGGGCCCACUCAGUAAUGCACAUCACUAUAAGCCUUGCAAGCAUUGUAACUAAUAAGUUAGUUGCGGGAUGAUGUAUUACGGAACGAGUAAAGAGACUUGCCGGUAACGAGAUUGAACUAGGUAUUAAGAUACCGACGAUCGAAUCUCGGGCAAGUAACAUUCUGAUGACAAAGGGAACAACGUAUGUUGUUAUGCGGUUUGACUGAUAAAGAUCUUCGUAGAAUAUGUGGAAGCCAAUAUGAGCAUCCAGGUUCCGCUAUUGGUUAUUGACCGGAGACGUGUCUCGGUCAUGUCUACAUAGUUCUCGAACCCGUAGGGUCCGCACGCUUAAAGUUAGAUGACGGUUAUAUUAUGAGUUUAUGUGUUUUGAUGUACCGAAGGAGUUCGGAGUCCCGGAUGAGAUCAGGGACUUGACGAGGAGUCUCGAAAUGGUCGAGACGUAAAGAUCGAUAUAUUGGACGACUAUGUUCGGACAUCAGAAAGGUUCCGAGUGAUUCGGGUAUUUUUCGGAGUACCGGAGAGUUACGGGAAUUCGUAUUGGGCCUUAAUGGGCCAUACGGGAAAGGAGAGAAAGGCCCCAAAGGGUGGCCGCACCCCUCCCCAUGGACUAGUCCAAAUUGGACUAGGGAGGGGGGGCGCCCCCUUCCUUCUUUCUCCUUCUCCCUUCCCUUUUCCUACUCCAACAAGGAAAGGAGGAGUCCUACUCCCGGUGGGAGUAAGACUCCCCCCUUGGCGCGCCCUCCUCCUAGGCCGGCCACCUCCCCCCUUGCUCCUUUAUAUACGGGGGCAGGGGGCACCCCAUAGACACAACAAUUGAUCAUUGAUCUCUUAGCCGUGUGCGGUGCCCCCCUCCACCAUAUUACACCUCGAUAAUAUCGUAGCAGUGCUUAGGCGAAGCCCUGCGUCGGUAGAACAUCAUCAUCGUCACCACGCCGUCGUGCUGACGAAACUCUCCCUCAACACUCUGCUGGAUCGGAGUUCGAGGGACGUCAUCGAGCUGAACGUGUGCUAAACUCGGACGUGCCGUGCGUUCGGUACUUGAUCGGUCGAAUCGUGAAGACGUACGACUACAUCAACCGCGUUGUGUUAACGCUUCCGCUUUCGGUCUACGAGGGUACGUGGACAACACUCUCCCCUCUCGUUGCUAUGCAUCACCAUGAUCUUGCGUGUGCGUAGAAUUUUUUUUGAAAUUACUACGUUGCACAACAGUGGCAUCCGAGCCUGGUUUUAUGCGUUGAUGCUAUGCACGAGUAGAACACAAGUGAGUUGUGGGCGAUAUAAGUCAUACUGCUUACCAGCAUGUCAUACUUUGGUUCAGCGGUAUUGUGAGAUGAAGCGGCCCGGACCGACAUUACGCGUACGCUUACGCGAGACUGGUUUCACCGUUGCGAGCACUCGUUGCUUAAAGGUGACUGGCGGGUGUCUGUCUCUCUCACUUUAGUUAAACCGAGUGUGGCUACGCCCGGUCCUUGCAAAGGUUAAAACAGCACCAACUUGAUAAACUAUCGUUGUGGUUUUGAUGCGUAGGUAAGAACGGUUCUUGCUAAGCCAGUAGCAGCCACGUAAAACUUGCAACAACAAAGUAGAGGAUGUCUAACUUGUUUUUGUAGGGCAUGUUGUGAUGUGAUAUGGUCAAGACAUGAUGUUGAAUUUUAUUGUAUGAGAUGAUCAUGUUUUGUAACCGAGUUAUCGGCAACUGGCAGGAGCCAUAUGGUUGUCACUUUAUUGUAUGCAAUGCAAUCGCCAUGUAAUUGUUUUACUUUAUCACUAAGCGGUAGCGAUAGUCGUAGAAGCAAUAGUUGGCGAGACGACAACGAUGCUACGAUGGAGAUCAAGAUGUCGCGCCGGUGACGAUGGUGAUCAUGACGGUGCUUCGGAGAUGGAGAUCACAAGCACAAGAUGAUGAUGGCCAUAUCAUAUCACUUAUAUUUGAUUGCAUGUGAUGUUUAUCUUUUAUGCAUCUUAUCUUGCUUUGAUUGACGGUAGCAUUAUAAGAUGAUCUCUCACUAAAUUUCAAGAUAAAAGUGUUCUCCCUGAGUAUGCACCGUUGCCAAAGUUCGUCGUGCCCAGACACCACGUGAUGAUCGGGUGUGAUAAGCUCUACUUCCAUCUACAACGGGUGCAAGCCAGUUUUGCACACGCAGAAUACUCAGGUUAAACUUGACGAGCCUAGCAUAUGUAGAUAUGGCCUCGGAACACUGAGACCGAAAGGUCGAGCGUGAAUCAUAUAGUAGAUAUGAUCAACAUAGUGAUGUUCACCAUUGAAAGCUACUCCAUUUCACGUGAUGAUCGGUUAUGGUUUAGUUGAUAUGGAUCACGUGAUCACUUAGAGGAUUAGAGGGAUGUCUAUCUAAGUGGGAGUUCUUAAGUAAUAUGAUUAAUUGAACUUAAAUUUAUCAUGAACUUAGUCCUGAUAGUAUUUUGCAAAUUAUGUUGUAGAUCAAUAGCUCGCAUUGUUGCUUCCCUGUGUUUAUUUUUGAUAUGUUCCUAGAGAAAAAUUAUGUUGAAAAAUGUUAGUAGCAAAGAUGCGGAUUGGAUCCGUGAUCUGAGGAUUAUCCUCAUUGCUGCACAGAAGAAUUAUAUCCUUGAUGCACCGCUAGGUGACAGACCUAUUACAGGAGCAGAUGCAGACGUUAUGAAUGUUUGGCUAGCUCAAUAUGAUCACUACUUGAUAGUUUAGUGCACCAUGCUUAAACGGCUUAGAAUCGGAACUUCAAAGACGUUUUGAACGUCAUGGACCAUAUGAAAUGUUCCAGGAGUUGAAGUUAAUAUUUCAAGAAAAUACCCGAGUUGAGAGAUAUGAAGUCUCCAACAAGUUCUAUAGCUAAAAGAUGGAGGAGAAUAGCUCAAGCAGUGAGCAUGUGCUCAGAUUGUCUGGUACUACAAUCGCCUGAAUCAAGUGGGAGUUAAUCUUCCAGAUAAAAUAGUGAUUGACAGAAUUCUCUAGUCACCAUCACCAAGUUAGUAGAACUUCGUGAUGAACUAUAGUAUGCAAGGGAUGACAAAAGUAAUUCCCGAGCUCUUCGUGAUGCUGAAAUCGACGAAGGUAGAAAUCAAGAGAAACAUCAAGUGUUGAUGGUUGACGAGACCACUAGUUUCAAGAAAAGGGCAAAGGGAAGAAGGGGAACUUCAAGAAGAAUGGCAAGCAAGUUGCUGCUCAAGUGAAGAAGCCUAAGUCUGGUCCUAAGCCUGAGACUAAGUGCUUCUACUGUAAAGGGACUGGUCACUGGAAGCGGAACUACCCCAACUAUUUGGUGGAUAAGAAGGAUGGCAAAGUGAACAAAGGUAUAUUGGAUAUACAUGUUAUUGAUGUGUACUUUACUAGUGUUUAUAGCAACCCCUCGGUAUUUGAUACUGGUUCAGUUGCUAAGAGUAGUAACUCGAAACGGGAGUUGCAGAAUAAACAGAGACUAGUAAAAGGCAAGGUGACGAUGUGUGUUGGAAGUAGUUCCAAGAUUGAUAUGAUCAUCAUCGCACACUCCCUAUACUUUCGAGAUUAGUGUUGAAACUAAAUAAGUGUUAUUUGGUGUUUGCGUUGAGCAUGAAUAUGAUUUGAUCAUGUUUGUUGCAAUACGGUUAUUCAUUUAAAUUAGAGAAUAAUUGUUGUUCUGUUUACAUGAAUAAAACCUUCUAUAGUCAUACACCCAAUAAAAUGGUUUGUUGGAUCACGAUCGUAGUGAUACACAUAUUCAUAAUAAUGAAGCCAAAAGAUGCAAAGUUAAUAAUGAUAGUGCAACUUAUUUGUGGCACUGCCGUUUAGGUCAUAUUGGUGUAAAGCGCAUGAAGAAACUCCAUACUGAUGGGAUUUUGGAAUCACUUGAUUAUGAAUCACUUGUUGCUUGCUAAUCGUGCCUCAUGGGCAAGAUGACUAAAACGUCGUUCUCCGGAACUAUGGAGAGAGCAACAGAUUUGUUGGAAAUCAUACAUACAGAUGUACGUGGUCCGAUGAAUAUUGAGGCUCGUAGCAGGUAUCAUUAUUUUCUGACCUUCACAGAUGAUUUGAGCAUAUAUGGGUAUAUCAACUUAAUGAAACAGAAGUCUGAAACAUUUGAAAAGUUCAUAUAAUUUCAGAGUGAAGCGGAAAAUCAUCGUAACAAGAAAAUAAAGUUUCUACGAUCUGAUCGUGGAGAAGAGUAUUUGAGUUACGAGUUUGGCCUUCAGUUAAAACAAUGUGAAAUAGUUUCACUACUCACGCCACCUGGAACACCACGGUGUAAUGGUGUGUCCGAACAUCGUAACCGUACUUUAUUAGAUAUGGUGCGAUAUAUGAUGUCUCUUACCGAUCUACCACUAUCGUUUUGGGGUUAUGCAUUAGAGACAGCUGCAUUCACGUUAAAUAGGGUACCAUCUAAAUCCGUUGAGACGACAUCUUAUGAACUGUGGUUUGGCAAGAAAUCAAAGUUGUCGUUUCUUAAAGUUUGGGGUUCCGAUGCUUAUGUGAAAAGGUUUCAUCCUGAUAAGCUCAAACCCAAAUCGGAGAAAUGUGUCUUCAUAGGAUACCCAAAGGAGACAGUUGGGUACACCUUCUAUCACAGAUCCGAAGGCAAGACAUUCGUUGCUAAGAAUGGAUCCUUUCUAGAGAAGGAGCUUCUCUCAAAAGAAGUGAGUGGGAGGAAAAUAGAACUUGAUGAGGUAACUGUACCUCAUCGCUUAUUGGAAAGUAGUUCAUCACAGAAACCGGUUUCUGUGACACCUACACCAAUUAGUGAGGAAGUUAAUGAUGAUGAUCAUGAAACUUCAGAUCAAGUUGUUACUGAACCUCGUAGGUCAACCAGAGUAAGAUCUGCACCAGAGUGGUACGGUAAUCCUGUUUUGGAGGUUAUGUUACUAGACCAUGAUGAACCUACGAACUAUGAAGAAGCGAUGGUGAGCCCAGAUUCCGCAAAAUGGCUUGAGGCCAUGAAAUCUGAGAUGGGAUCCAUGUAUGAGAACAAAGUAUGGACUUUGAUUGACUUGCCCAAUGAUCGGCGAGCCAUAAAAAAUAAAUGGAUCUUCAAGAGGAAGACGGACGCUGAUAGUAGUGUUACUAUCGACAAAGCUAGACUUGUCGGAAAAAGGUUUUUGACAAAGUUCAAAGUGUUGAAUACGAUGAGAUUUUCUCACUCGCAGCGAUGCUUAAGUCUGUCCGAAUCAUGUUAGCAAUUGCCGCAUUUUAUGAAAUCUGGCAAAUGGAUAAACAAAACUGCAUUCCUUAAUGGAUUCAUUAAAGAAGAGUUGUAUAUGAUGCAACCAGAAGGUAUUGUCAAUCCUAAAGGUGCUAACAAAAUAUGCAAACUCCAGCGAUCCAUCUAUGGACUGGUGCAAGCAUCUCGGAGUUGGAAUAUACGCUUUGAUAAGUUGAUCAAAGCAUAUUAUAUAGACUUGCGGUGAAGCCUGUAUUUACAAGAAAGUGAGUGGGAGCACUACAGCAUUUCUGAUAAGUAUAUGUGAAUGACAUAUUGUUGAUCGGAAAUAAUGUAGAAUUAUUCUGCAAAGCAUAAAGGAGUGUUUGAAAGGAGUUUUUCAAGGAAAGACCUCGGUGAAGCUGCUUACAUAUUGAGCAUCAAGAUCUAUAGAGAUAGAUCAAGACGCUUGAUAAGUUUUUUCAAUGAGUACAUACCUUAACAAGAUUUUGAAGUAGUUCAAAAUGGAACAGUCAAAGAAAGAGUUUCUUGCCUGUGUUACAAGGUGUGAAAUUGAGUAAGACUCAAAGCCCGACCACGGCAGAAGAUAGAAAAAGAAUGAAAGUCAUUCCCUAUGCCUCGGCCAUAGGUUCUAUAAAGUAUGCCAUGCUGUGUACCAGAUCUAUUGUAUACCCUACACUGAUUUUGGCAAGGGAGUACAAUAGUGAUCUAGGAGUAGAUCACUGGACAGCGAUCAAAAUUAUCCUUACUGGAAUAAGGAUAUGUUUCUCGAUUAUGGAAGUGACAAAAGGUUCGUCGUAAAGGGUUACGUCGAUGCAAGUUUUGACACUAAUCUAGAUGACUCUAAGUCUCGGUCUAGAUACAUAUUGAAAGAGGGAGCAAUUAGCUAGAGUAGCUCCGUGCAGAGCAUUGUAGACAUAGAAAUUUGCAAAAUACUUACGGAUCUGAAUGUGACAGACCCGUUGACUAAAAUUAUCUCACAAGCAAAACAUGAUCACACCUUAGUACUCUUAGGGUGUUAAUCACAUAAGCGAUGUGAACUAGAUUACUGACUCUAGUAAACCCUUUGGGUGUUGGUCACAUGACGAUGUGAACUAUGGGUGUUAAUCACAUGGUGAUGUGAACUAUUGAUGUUAAAUCACAUGGCGAUGUGAACUAGAUUAUUGACUCUAGUGCAAGUGGGAGACUGAAGGAAAUAUGCCCUAGAGGCAAUAAUAAAGUUAUUAUUUAUUUACUUAUAUCAUGAUAAAUGUUUAUUAUUCAUGCUAGAACUGUAUUAACUGGAAACUUGAUACAUGUGUGAAUACAUAGACAAACAGAGUGUCACUAGUAUGCCUCUACUUGACUAGCUCGUUGAUCAAAGAUGGUUAUGUUUCCUAGCCAUAGACAUGAGUUGUCAUUUGAUUAACGGGAUCACAUCAUUAGGAGAAUGAUGUGAUUGACUUGACCCAUUCCGUUAGCUUAGCACUCGAUCGUUUAGUAUGUUGCUAUUGCUUUCUUCAUGACUUAUACAUGUUCCUAUGACUAUGAGAUUAUGCAACUCCCGUUUACCGGAGGAACACUUUGUGUGCUACCAAACGUUACAACGUAACUGGGUGAUUAUAAAGGUGCUCUACAGGUGCUUCCAAAGGUACUUGUUGGGUUGGCGUAUUUCGAGAUUAGGAUUUGUCACUCCGAUUGUCGGAGAGGUAUCUCUGGGCCCACUCAGUAAUGCACAUCACUAUAAGCCUUGCAAGCAUUGUAACUAAUAAGUUAGUUGCGGGAUGAUGUAUUACGGAACGAGUAAAGAGACUUGCCGGUAACGAGAUUGAACUAGGUAUUAAGAUACCGACGAUCGAAUCUCGGGCAAGUAACAUUCCGAUGACAAAGGGAACAACGUAUGUUGUUAUGCAGUUUGACCGAUAAAGAUCUUCGUAGAAUAUGUGGAAGCCAAUAUGAGCAUCCAGGUUUCGCUAUUGGUUAUUGACCGGAGACGUGUCUCGGUCAUGUCUACAUAGUUCUCGAACCCGUAGGGUCCGCACGCUUAAAGUUAGAUGACGGUUAUAUUAUGAUUUUAUGUGUUUUGAUGUACCGAAGGAGUUCGGAGUCCCGGAUGAGAUCAGGGACUUGACGAGGAGUCUCGAAAUGGUCGAGACGUAAAGAUCGAUAUAUUGGAUGACUAUGUUCGGACAUCGGAAAGGUUCCGAGUGAUUCGGGUAUUUUUCGGAGUACCGGAGAGUUACGGGAAUUCGUAUUGGGCCUUAAUGGGCCAUACGGGAAAGGAGAGAAAGGCCCCAAAGGGUGGCCGCACCCCUCCCCAUGGACUAGUCCAAAUUGGACUAGGGAGGGGGGGCGCCCCCUUCCUUCUUUCUCCUUCUCCCUUCCCUUUUCCUACUCCAACAAGGAAAGGAGGAGUCCUACUCCCGGUGGGAGUAGGACUCCCCCCUUGGCGCGCCCUCCUCCUAGGCCGGCCGCCUCCCCCCUUGCUCCUUUAUAUACGGGGGCAGGGGGCACCCCAUAGACACAACAAUUGAUCAUUGAUCUCUUAGCCGUGUGCGGUGCCCCCCUCCAUCAUAUUACACCUCGAUAAUAUCGUAGCGGUGCUUAGGCGAAGCCCUGCGUCGGUAGAACAUCAUCAUCGUCACCACGCCGUCGUGCUGACGAAACUCUCCCUCAACACUCGGCUGGAUCGGAGUUCGAGGGACGUCAUCGAGCUGAACGUGUGCUAAACUCGGAGGUGCCGUGCGUUCGGUACUUGAUCGGUCGAAUCGUGAAGACGUACGACUACAUCAACCGCGUUGUGUUAACGCUUCCGCUUUCGGUCUACGAGGGUACGUGGACAACACUCUCCCCUCUCGUUGCUAUGCAUCACCAUGAUCUUGCGUGUGCGUAGGAAUUUUUUUGAAAUUACUACGUUGCCCAACACAUCCCUGCCAAGGUCGCCGCGGCCACGGCCUCCUCCGCCUCUACCUCUACUCUAGUUUUACUCCCACCAAUACCCCCUUUCAUCUCCUUCACCGACACCAUCUCCGAUAUUAGACCCUACAUCCCCAUAACCCUAGACCUUGCUGCUCACAACUACUACCAUUGGCGUCACCUCUUCGACGUCCACCUUGGGCGAUGCAAUCUCCGCUCUCACGUUGCCGAUGACUCUCUUCCUCAACUUCAUGAUCCGCAAUGGGUCAAGGAUGAUCUCGCCAUUAUUCAAUGGAUCUACAUGCGAGUCUCCACAGAGAUCUUCAAUCUCGUCCACUGUGAUGGUGCCUCCGCCGCCGAUCUAUGGGCGGCCCUUCGUCAGCUCUUCCGGGACAACGUCGACGCUCGCGCCAACAAUCUCCACACCGAGAUUCAGAAUACGGUGCAAGGUGAUUCACCAGUCGGCGUCUACUGCCAACGCCUCAAGGCGAUCGCGGAUGAACUCCGCGAACUUGGUGAUCCGAUCGACGAUCGCCAGCUCAUCAACGUCCUCCUCGUCGGCCUCAGCGAGCGGUUCGAGAAGCAGGCCUCCUUCAUCCCUAUGAUGCGUCCGCGUCCCUCCUUCGCCGAGGUUCUCCCGAUGCUCCAAUGGGCCGAUCGUGCCCUAACUACGAAGUACUCCCGUCCUCAGGUCUUCACUGCUUCUCCUCGCCCGCCUGCGUCGACGCCGCCACCGCCACCUCCACCAACAGCACCUCCUCAACCAUCCGGCUGGCGUCCAAGUCCCAACUACUGGGGCAAAAACCCUAGGCCACCGCAGUUCCGCACGGUGCCCGCUCUUGCUCCGCCCCCGGCUCCACCAACUGCACCACCACCGCCCCCGGCUUCAUCAACUGCACCGCCGCCGCCGCCCGGAUGGCGCCCAUCUCCUGAUCCAUGGACAGGGCUAGUCCAGGUGUGGCCUAUGCCCUAGUCCGCCCCUAUGCCAUAUGGUGCCCCGCCUGCCUAUACCAGUGGCUGGCAGCCCGGUGCUCACCCUCACACCGGCACGCCCAUCCUCGCGCCUCGACAGCCGACGUCCGCGUACCACGCUGCUCCCGCCUACGCGCCACUGAUCUACAACACCAGUCCUUAUGCAUCCUAUGGCGCUCCAUCGUCCCCCUACAUGCAGCAGUACAAUGAUGGUGCCUCUCUCUUUACGCCGAUGUCGGCCCUACUGCCGACGCCACCACACCUGCAAGCUCCCAUGACUACACCGGCCUCUACUUCGACUCCGAGCUGGGACCAAGCUGCUUUUCUACAAGCCAUGAACAACUUUGCUGCACAAGGGAACUCAGGUACGGAUUGGAUUUUCGAUUCUGGUGCUUCUCGUCAUAUGUCUGCAUCGAGUAAUUUGCUUUCUUCUUGCACACCUUCGCCUUUUCCCUCCAUUACUCUCGGUGAUGGAUCCUCCAUUCCUAUUUACUGUGUCGGUCAGGCUCAAAUCCAAUCCCCAACCAAGCCUUUGCUUCUUCGUGAUGUUCUUGUAGCUCCUGCUCUUAUUAAAAAUCUGAUUUCUGUUCGCCAAAUCACCACUGAUAAUCAUGUUUCUGUUGAGUUUGACCCCUUUGGUUUGUCUGUGAAGGACUACCCGACCAAGGCCGAGAUCGCUUGAUUCAAUAGCUCCGGUGAUUUAUAUUCUCUCCAUGGUGCACCGGUCGCUGCUCCUUCAAUAUCUAUGGUGGCCUCUGUUGAUCUGUGGCACCAACGUCUCGGCCAUCCCAAUAAAAAUGUGUUAUCCACACUUCUUAGUGAAUUUUCAAUACCUUGUAAUAGAGAUUCUCAUAAUUCUUCUAUGUGUCAGUCAUGUCAAUUGGGCAAACAUGUUCACCUUCCCUUUUGUUCCUCUCAAUCCUCUAGUACUUUCCCUUUUGAAUUACUUCAUUGUGAUCUCUGGACAUCACCAAUAGAAAGUGUAUCUGGUUUUAAGUAUUAUCUCGUGAUUCUUGAUGAUUUUACUCAUUAUGUUUGGACUUUUCCUUUACGAAACAAAUCCGACAUUCAUAAUAUAUUCCUUAACUUUCAGCGCUAUGUCUCGGUCCACUUUUUCCUCCCUAUAAGAUUCAUACAAUGUGAUAAUGGUCGUGAAUUUGACAACUUUAAAAAUCAAAAUUUCUUUCUACAAUAUCGAACUCUCUUACGUUUCUCCUGUCCUUAUACCUCCCCUCAAAACGGCAAAGUCGAGCGUUCUCUUCGUACUCUUAAUGACAUCAUUCGCACUAUGCUUAUUCAAUCUUCUAUGUCGUCGAUGUUCUGGGCAGAGGCACUCCACAUGGCCACAUAUUUACUCAAUAUUCAUCCGUCUAAAGUUAACCCACAAACUACUCCUUACUUCUCUUUAUUUCUGUCUCAUCCAAAUUACUCGGACAUUCGCGUCUUAGGUUGUCUUUGUUUUCCAAACUCCUACUCCACUUCUCCUAACAAACUCUCCCCACGCUCUAUGCCGUGUGUCCAUCUAGGUUUUUCUGACGAGCACAAGGGUUAUCAUUGUCUAGAUCUUGUUAGUGGUCGUGUUCAUGUGUCUCGUCAUGUAACAUUUGCUGAAAACAUUUUUCCCUUUUCCGAGCGUCAACAAUUAGAUUCCAACUCACCCGCGCCGUCCACUAGUCCCUCUCGUCGCAAUCAUCUUCCCUUCUUUCACCCGCCGACCAAUCCAGCGAAACCAGCCACAGUAGCAGAUCCUACCGCCACCACUUGUGUCAUCACCUCUGUCUCGGUAGAGGAAAACACAUUACACUCUGACGCGGCAGACCUCCUGCAGCCGCAGUCUUCACCACCAUCCCCCGCGUCCGCUUCCUCCGCAGAGCCGGACGCGUCCACCACAUCUUCCCCCACCCCUCCUGCUCAUGCUAUUACCGUUCUAUCUCCUACUAGCGAUCAUACCAUGCGCACAUGUGCCAAGUCCGGGUUUCGUUUACCUGCAAAAGAUCGUCUCAAUCUUCAUGCAUGUUUAUCUCCUUCCUCUCUACCCACAUCUUACAAAUCAGCUCUCCUAGAUCCUUAUUGGGCCGCAGCUAUGAAAGAUGAAUAUGAUGCCCUUCUGCAGAAUAACACGUGGCAGUUCGUUCCUCGUCCUUCCAAUACAAUUAUCGUUUCCGACAAAUAGGUGUUUCGCCAUAAAUUUAAUUCUAAUGGGAGUCUUGCACGUUAUAAGGCUCGAUGGGUAUGUCGUGAUUACUCUCAGCAACACGGCAUCGAUUAUGAUGAGACUUUCUCUUCAGUUGUCAAGCCCAGCACUAUUCGCACUGUCCUUAGCAUCGUCGUCUCUUCUUCCUGGCCAAUUCAUCAACUAGAUGUCAAAAAUGCUUUCCUUCAUGGCUGUCUUCAAGAAACAGUCUAUUGUCAACAACCUCUUGGCUUCGAACAUUCCUCCUAUCCUAAUCAUGUUUGUCUUCUUCAAAAAUCUCUUUAUGGUCUUAAACAAGCACCACGUGCCUGGUUCCAACGUUUUUCUACUUAUGCUCAAACCAUCGGUUUUACCCCUUCCUGUUCUGACACUUCACUCUUCACCUUUCAUCACAACAACAACACUGCUUACCUUCUUUUAUAUGUUGAUGAUAUUAUCCUCACAGCUUCCUCACAAUAAUUUUUAGAUCAUAUUAUCUCUCUUCUUCGCCAUGAAUUCUCUAUGACAGAUUUAGGUCUUCUUCACCACUUCUUAGGUAUUGCUGUUAUCCAUGACUCCUCUGGUCUUUUCUUGUCUCAACGUCAGUACACUCUGGAUCUUCUUUCUCAUGCUGGUAUGCUUGAUUGUCAAACUUCUCGUGCCCCUGUUGAUACAGGUUCCAAACUCUCUGCCGACGGUGAUCCUUUCUCUGAUCCUUCUCUUUAUCGUAGUCUUACCGGUGCACUUCAGUAUCUUACUCUCACUCGUCCUGAAAUUUCUUUUGCUGUCCAACAAGCUUGUUUAUACAUGCUUGAUCCUUGUAUUCCACACUACAAUCAUGUCAAACGUAUUCUUCGAUAUCUCAAAGGCACACUAGACUUAGGUCUUCAUAUCAACAAAUCCUCUCCCACCUCCUUGACAGCUUACUCUGAUGCAGAUUGGGCUGGUUGUCCAGAUACUCGUCGGUCCACAUCCGGAUUUUGUGUUUUUCUUGGUAACAAUUUGGUUUCUUGGUCUUCAAAAAGGCAGGUUACGGUCUCCCGCUCGUUUGCUAAAGCCGAGUACCGCGCUGUGGCCCACGCGGUCUUCAAAAUGUCGUCGAAUCGAGUGCUUGACACCCUAAUGAGAAUAGCUAACCAGACCCGGAGAUUCGCACUGGAAGCAAAGAAGAGGUGUUGCCGGUUCUCUAUAUUGGAGGAGCACCGAGGGCUGCCUACUUCCACAAAUGUAUUAGAGCACCGAGGGUUUGUACCUUGUAGGCAAGUUUUCAUCAGUUGAGAAUCAAGAUUUUACAAACCAGGCAGGAAUGCGGGAACUGGCCAGUCGCUCCAUUUGGAAUGGCUAUGCUCCCAAAAAGGGGAACUGCGUACUUGGUUGCUAGUAAACCUAGGACCACGACUUGUGCCUUUUCUGCUGCGUUGAAAGUGAGACCACCUCACACUUUUUUAUCCGCUGCAACCAGACCCAGACAAUUUUGAAUUUGCUUGGCAGUUGGCACUCAACUGAGUUGGGCUGAUUAACCGGUUGACACUUUCACCUCGUGUGGAGUUUGAAUAGGUGAAAUGAAGAUCAUAUAAUAUGGUUGCUAUUGCAAUUUUCUAGACUAUAUGCCUUGCCAGAAAUUGAAAGGUCUUCAAAAACAUCAUGACCCCCACGGGGCUCUUACCUCUUAGUUCUACUGAUUCUACUGCAUGUGAAACUUAUUUCGAGCAAGCUUUUGCUUGCUGCUUUGUUUUAAUGGGAAAAGGUAAGUGCCCUGCUUCGGUACAAUCCCCCUCACUAAACGUAUAAAUCGCAAUAUGCACCUUUGGCAAAUCGUACUCAUUUUCGUACGUAUGGUCGGUCGCCCGCCGAAAUGUAUACGCCGUACUCACAACCUCUGGGUUUACUUCAACACGCUAUAACCAACUAGAAUAGCCCACUAGGUAUGCGUAGUUACUUUCUUUUUUCUUCUUGUUGUGCACCUCCCCUCUCUGGUUUUCCUCCCUUUUUAGGUUUUGUUUAGAAUUUUUUCUUUGGAUUUAUUUUAUUUUUAUUUUCUCUUUCUUUUCCAUUUUCUCAAAUUCAUGGAAUUUUUCUAGUUCACAAACUAUUUUUUAAACCAUGAAUAUUUUCUUAAAUUCGCUAACUUUUUUAAAAUCCUUGAACUUUUUUUCAAAUUAAUGAAUGUUUUUUAGUUUCACAAACCUUUUCAAUUUCAUGAACUUUUAUUUCAUAUUAAUGAACUUUUUCCAAUUCGUUAACUUUUUUUCAAAUUCAUAAAGUUUUAUUCAAAUUAAAAAAUUCAUGAAUUUGACAAAAAAAUCAUUGAUUUGACAAAAAGUUCUAAGCAUCAAAUACCCGAUGGGAGCGAUGUCGUCGCCUAGUUGGACCAAGGCCCAAGCGUUUUUUUCCUAUGUUUCGUCUUGCUUCCCUUUUCUCGUUAAUUCAUUUUUUCUCCUUUUGAACUUUAUUAUACCUUUUGAAACCUGUUCAAAUAUUUGAAAUAUUGUUUGGCAUACCAAAAGUUGUUCUUGUUUUUAAAUAUUGUUUACAAUUUUUAAAAAUGUUCUGGAAUUUCAAAAAAGUACCCAUUUUCAAAAAAAAUCACCAAUUUAAGAAAUGUUUGCAUUUCAAAAAAGUUGUUAAAUUAAAAAUGUACGUGGUCUGCAGUUUGUGUUCAAAAGUUUCAUCAAUUUGUUCAUGAAUUUAAGAAAUGUUUGCAUUUCAAAACAAGUUGAUAAAUUUUCUAAAACAGUAUGUGGUUUGCAAGUGUUCACAAUUUUCAUCAAUUGUUGGGAAUUUGUUAAUAAUUUUGGAAAGUGUUCAAAUUUGUAAAAAAAAUCAUACACAAUUUGUUCCAUAACUGUUGAAAAUUUGAAGAAAUAGUUAGGCCAUAAGAAAAUGUUGAUGUUGGUUUAUAAUGACGAAAAUUGCAAAUAACACGAGCAUUCAAAUUAGGAGAAACUAAUGCACCUGUUUGGCCUAGUUUGGCUCACUCCUCUGAACCGGUUGUUUUUUGGACUAUGGAUAAUUGACCCCAACUUCUUGCAGCAACUUGACACAGACAUAUGAGGCAUACAUGCUAGGUUCGAACAUGUUUGAUAUCGUUUGCAAGUUGCGACAUGUCCUACUAUUUAUUAUCCUUUUUGCCAGGAAAAGUUCAGAAAACGUAUAACUUGUUGAAAACUAAAAAACUUGGCAUGAUGCCUUGAAUUGGUCAUACAAUGCAAACCGGGGAUAUUUCAAGGAUGUCGAAAACCUACGUGCUCUAUCCCAACACCCCUGUUGAACAUGGUGUGUUUUUGGAUAUUCUUGAAAUUAUCCCAACUUUUACCACCAGGUGGGCAUUCCCAUGGUAGGCAUCCAUGCAGGUUUGAACAAAUUCCUACACAGUAUGCACGUCGCGACAUGCCUGACAAUUUAUCCGUUUUUUUAUUGAGAAAACUUAAGAAAAUGCAGAACUUGUCGAAAACACAAACAAAUAUGGUGCCUUGAAUUGGUCAUACAAGGUAAUGAAAAACAAAUGGGGCCAUUUCAAUGAUGUCGAGAAACCACGUGCUCCAUUUGGAGCCUUCUGGCCUACCCGGACACCCUUGGUUGAACAUGGUCUAUUUUUGGAUAUUCUUGAAAUCCCCCCAAAAUUUUCAAGUAGGUAGGCAUGCCCACGGUAGGGAUCCAUGUUAGGUUUGAACGAUCUCCGACACGGUAUGCAAGUUGUGACACGUCCGACCAUUUAUCGACCUUUUUUAACCGAGAAAACUCCAGAAAAAAGUAAAAUUUCUCGAAAACCAAAUAACCUUGGCAUGGUCAUUUGAAUUGGUUAUAAAAUUCUGUGAAAAAAAUUGGGUCAUUCGACAGACGUCAAGAAACAACUGCUCUCGAAGGGAACUUUUUGGCCUACCCGGACACCCUACGUUGUACAUGGUGUUUACUCGGACAUCCUUAAAAUAACCCCAGGUUUUGCUAGUAGGUGGGCACGCCCAUGGUAGACAUCCAUGCCAGGUUUGAAGGAAAAACGUAUUUAAAAUCAUAAUUUAAACAGGUACUUAAAACUAUUAUUUUAAGUUAUUAACAUGACAAAGAAAUAUAAAGGGAUAAAAUUAAAAUUAGUAAAUAUUUUUUCAGAAUUUAAUAAAUAUUUGAAUGAAGCAAGAAUUUAAAAUCAUAAUUUAAACCGUUAUUUUUGGUAUUCCAAACAAUAUUUCAAAUUUUUGGACAGGUCUUAAAAAUAAUAAUGACAUUCAAAAAGGAGAAAGGUAAGUUAAAGAAUAAAGAGGAGAAAAAAAUGAAAAUAAAAAAACAGAAAAGAAAAAUAGCUUAGGCCUUAGCCCAACUAGGCGACGGCUCCGCUCCCGUCGGGCGCCAACUCGGCCAAUCCACAUGCUCGGGAUUUGAAAAAAAUUCAUCGAUCCAAAAAAUAUCCCCGUUCCAGAAAAAAAAGAGAUACCUAUUUAAAUAAUUAGUUCACAAACUCAAAUAAUGUUUGGGGAGUUUGAAGUAAUGUUUGCACUUUCAAAAUUUCUUCGGAAUUUAAAUAAUGUUCAUGUUUUCCUUUAUUUUUUACCCAAAUACAAAAAAUGUCUGGGGAAAUUUAGAAAAAAAUGCUUUCCAACUUUUGUUCGUACAUUUCUGCUUUUAUGCCAAAUUUGUUAGUCUUUCAAUAUUUGUUCGCUCUUUUGAAUACAUGUUCGUGUUUUGACAUUCUGAGCAAUUUUGAAAGACAUGAACAUUUUUAACAAUUUUUGUACAAUUUUAUAAAAUAAUAUUAUUGUUCAUGUUAUUGUGAUUUUUCUAAAAAAAUGAUUUUUUUUUCUUGAAAAUUUGAACAAAGUUCUAGAAGCGCGGACAUUUUUUGGAAAGGAAAAAAUAAAAAUAAAAAUAAAAAAGAAAAAGAAAUAGUGAUUAAAAGACAGGUUCACUACAGUAAACCAGUAGCUGUCAUCAAUUUUGAGGAUUCAUGAAUUUGAAAAAAAAUACGGAUUUAAAAAAGUUCAUGAUUUUUAAUAAAAGUAAAAUAAAAUGAAAAAGGAAAGUGAAGGAGAAAUGUAAAAAAGUAAAACCGUCCAAACAAAGCUAAGUAAACCCGCGACCUCCUCGUUCAGUGGGACACGAAGAGAAGAAAGAAGAAAAGAAGAAAAAGGAUGUCAGAAAUUGCAUCAGGUGAAUUGUCUGGCUGUCUACUGCAACAUACACUUAACAAGAAGGUCAUGGGUUCGAAUCACGUUACACACACUUUUUUUCAGAUUAACAGAAAAAGAAAAGGUAAAAUGGGUCGGCCCACGUGUAUGGGGGUUCGUGUAUGCUAUGUACGCCGGGCCGUCUACGGGAGGUACGUCCACAAGCCGUGUAUCGGCGCGCUCGACGCGGGCGAUAUACUUUAAAAAAAGACCAUCCUACUCUUUAUUAUGAAGAGGUGUGGAGAGAUAGGCUCCAUUGAUGUGUUUAGGGGGGUUGUGCCGAAACAGAAAUGGUAAAAAAAAUAGUUUCAUAGAGUGGCUUUUUAGCCCCAACAUCCAUAUUGACGAUCAUUAUUUGCCGGUCGGGACCUUUUGAGCACUCUGCUAGAGUUGCUUUUAGGUGAAACAACCACAUAUGUUGGUGAUGGUCUUAUGACCUUCCACAGAACUCUAGAGUGACAAUUUUUCUUGAUAAAGGGUGAAUUUUAUUGGCUCAAAAUGGAGCAUCAUGAUGAUAAAGUACCAUGAGCACACCCGGUGACCGCGGGGACAGCAACAUAGGCCGGUGACCGCGGUGACAUUGAGGUCAGCACGUGGGGUGCCGUGGUGCCUACGCACACACGCUUCUCCCCGCGAGUCUAGCUGUUGGGCCAGCGCUAGCCAAAUUCUGGCCACACGCCACCACGACCCGCAUCAACGCCCGAAGAAACCGCCGCCAUGCGAACAUGGUAGGGAAGGUUUGCCACCGCCGCCAUGCGGAUUUUGCCCGACCGAGUUUGCCGGCGGCGGCGGGUGAGGAGGGGCGAAGGAGGGGUUGGUGUCCGACGACAGCUAGGGUUUGCGCCCGAGUCGCUGGUGGGAAGGCAACGCACAAGUGUUUCCGUUUGUAGCCGGUAUUUAGAGUGGCACUGCCAUCGUAUAAUCCAGUACUAAAUUCCCCGCCAAACCAGAUCCUAUAUUGAACCGACAGUCUCAACAUACAUUGAGCAUAGAUCAUGGAAGAGCAAACAUGCAUAUGAUUGAUUUUUGAGUUGGCCAACCGAAACCUAAAAACAGUAAGAAUGGUCAACGGUUGCCGGGAGGAGUACAGGAGGUGGCCAUUAUCCAUGGAGUAUCAUAUGCCUAAAUUAAGGCUACCGGCGAGACGUGUAAGUGAUCGCACCGACUAACAAGAAAAUGUCAUAUGGCUAAGAUAAGGACCGUCGCGUAGACUAUAGCCCCUCCAUCGCAUACCUGUCAAAUAAAAUAAAAAUCAUGGCGUACACUCUAGCCCUUCUUCUCCGUGGAAGCAAGAGAAGACUACUAUACUAACUGUACUAACAAGAAAAAAAGAAC